CCUCAAUGAAAUCAAGGAUUCUGUUGUGGCUGGCUUCCAGUGGGCCUCAAAGGAGGGUGCACUGGCUGAGGAGAACAUGCGUGGCAUCUGCUUUGAGGUCUGUGAUGUUGUUCUUCAUGCUGAUGCAAUUCACAGGGGUGGUGGCCAGGUCAUUCCAACUGCCAGGAGGGUUAUUUAUGCUUCUCAGCUCACUGCCAAGCCAAGGCUGCUCGAGCCAGUUUACCUUGUGGAGAUCCAGGCCCCAGAAAAUGCACUUGGUGGUAUCUAUGGUGUUCUGAACCAGAAGAGAGGGCACGUGUUUGAGGAGAUGCAGAGGCCUGGUACCCCGCUCUACAACAUCAAGGCUUACCUCCCUGUCAUCGAGUCCUUUGGGUUCUCCAGCCAACUGAGGGCUGCAACCUCUGGCCAGGCGUUCCCUCAGUGUGUGUUUGACCACUGGGACAUGAUGGGCUCUGAUCCUCUGGAGGCCGGCUCCCAGGCUGCUCAGCUGGUGUUGGAUAUCCGCAAGAGGAAGGGUCUCAAGGAGCAGAUGACCCCUCUUUCUGAGUUUGAGGACAAGCUCUAAAUUUUGGUGGUUUGUGCUGCUGUUACCCAUGCUGGUUUCAUGGCCAAUUCGUCUACUGUAACUGGAACUACUUUCAUGUUUCAUUUCCUUUAGUUGUCAGAUGCAUCUGUUUUUGAACAUCAUUGGCCAUAUGGCAUUGUGCUGCUAAGACUGUAUUUUGUUAUCCGGUUGUGAUGUAACAGAUGAAAUAGAGUUCAUAUCUGUGGUUUAAGUGGUAGUAUUUGCGGUAUAAUGCUUGUUUCUACUGCCUUCUGAAAGCCUUUCUUUUGCCUAACGGUAGAGCGGAUUAACUAAGGGUGUUGUAUCAUUUGAUUCAUUUGAUCCUUCAUCAAGGAUGAAGCCAUCUCCUCAUGGGAACACAUUAUUCUACUAUUAGAAGCGAAGAUGUAACAAAUUAGUUGAAAGAGGAGCGUUGAAAGAGGAGCGAACCAUACUUUACUAUAUGGUAAGUAGCAAAUUAGUUACAAGUAGCAAAUUAGUUGAACUUUAGGAUCAUGCACGUUGAACCUUGUUAUCUAGGAUCAUCCAUGGAUCAUGCACGUUGAACCUUGCUAACUAGGAUCAUGCACGUUGACCCUUGUUAUCUAGGAUCAUCCAUGGAUCAUACACGUUGAACUUUGCUAUCUAGGAUUAUCCAUGUAUGCAUCAUGUAGUGCAUCUGUGCAUGCAAUAUUCUGUUAUCUAGGAUCAUCCAUGGAUCAUACACGUUGAACUUUGCUAUCUAGGAUUAUCCAUGUAUACAUCAUGUAGUGCAUCUGUGCAUGCAAUAUUCUGCCCUUAGCUUGGUUUUACUGCCGAUAGCUAUAUAGUGCAUUUAAAUGCUUUUCUUUUGCCCACAGCCCCAGAGGUAGAGAGGACUAACUGUUUCUGUUGCUUUUUUUUUUUACGGUCUACGGGAGAGAGUGUGUGUGUGUGUUGGGGGUGGGAGCGCCCCCACCUGAUUUUCAUUUCAUUGAGGGUCUGUUUCAGGCCAAACGCUGUGUAGAUCAAAAGGAGAUAGAGAGAGGCAGUGUACAUCUGGUUUUGUGAUUGUUUUACAUCGAAGCAAAGACAGUGCACCAGGAGUCGGUUAUCACGCGAUCCUCUAUGCGAAACCGCUCGCGCCAAAGUCGGGCUUCGUCUCGGCAUGCCGACCAGAAGCGUUGUUGAGAUGGAGCGCAGCGCUGGAACACUGGGUCAUUCCGGUGCUUCCAUAACACCCACGGCAGAAGGAGUUUUUUCUUGCUUUGCCUUUAGCUUGGCUUUAAUCCUGUUAGCUAUGCCUAUGUAGAGCAUUUGGUCCUUCGAAUUUUAAAUCGAUGUUGAUUUUGAUUGCAUGCCGUCAUUUUGGGUUGGUUCCAACUAUGUUUUUAAUAUCAGUCGUUCUGAAGGUUACUCUGUUGACACUUGAUUGCAUAACCGUUUGCUAGUUUUGCGUGCAUCCGCGUGCUGGUUCGUCUCAUCAAGAACUAGCCGUUGCUCAAAACUCUGGCUUUCAGGCAUGGCCGCAACAGCCUGGAGGAUGUGUUGCUGUUCUGUAGCUGUAGUGUGCGUCUGUGCUAGUGGAUGCAGGGAGCCAGCGACCUAAAAGGAAUCGUGUAUUAGUGGAUGCAGGACAUCGGCCGUGGCGGCCUGGGGGAGACGACCACGCUCGACAUGAACGGCAGUAAGUUCAAUGGCACGAUCCCGGCGUCGCUUACCGGCCUAUGGAGCCUCCAGUAUCUAGAUGUGAGCGGCAACCGCUUCACCGGCACCAUCCCAGCGUUGCUAUCUGGACUCCGGAACCUCCAGCUUCUCGGCCUGAAUGACAACCUCUUCACCGGCACCAUCCCGGCGGACCUCGGCGAGCUGGCGAGCCUUCACAUGCUGUAUCUGGCAAACAACCAGUUCGAUGCAGGCCAGCUGCCGUCGUCGUUCAAGAACCUGACCAACCUGGUCAGCCUCUGGGCGUCGCAGUGCAACCUCGUCGGAGAGUUCCCGAACUUUCUUUGGAGCCUGAAGGAGCUGCAACUAUUGAAUCUGUACACGAACAACCUCACCGGCAACUUGGUGGUUGAUGGCCUUGUUGCGAGGAACUUGACAGUAAUCGACGUCUCGGAGAACAAGAUCACUGGAGUUAUCCCGAGUGUUUGGGAGCUUGGAGAACCUCAGAGACUUGAACUUCUUCAUGAACAACUUCUCCAGCGAGAUACCAGCCAGCAUCGGCCGGUUGCCCUCACUGACGAGGUUGAGGCUCCACACCAACAUGCUUAACGGCACGCUCCCACCGGAGCUCGGAAAGCAAUCGCCGGGCUUGAAUUAUGUUGAGGUUGAUUACAAUGAGCUCACCGCCGAGAUCCCGGAAGGGCUGUGCACUGGAGACAACCUCCAGCACCUCACCGCCAAGAGCAACCAAUUGAACGGCUCCAUCCCAGCAGGCCUUGCCAACUGCGCCACUCUUGGAACCCUGUCGCUGGACAACAACCAACUCUCUGGCGACGUACCAGAGGCUCUGUGGACGGCGACGAAGCUUUACCAGAGGCUCUUCCGGCCACGGUGCAUCUCAACCUUUCGACGAUACUCAUAGGGAACAACCAAUUUGGUGGCAACAUUCCGGCUGCACUAGCUGCGCUCCAGGUGUUCACCGCCGAGAACAACCGGUUUUCUGGUGCGAUACCGGCGAGUCUUGGCGACGGCAUGCCGCUGCUGCAAAGACUGAACUUAUCCGGUAACCAACUGUCCGACGGGAUCCCCAGAAGCGUUGCUAAGCUAAGCCAGCUGACGGAAAUGGACCUGAGCAGGAAUCAGCUCACCGGAGGCAUACCGGUAGAGCUCGGCGCCAUGCCGGUGUUAAGUGUCCUUAACCUGUCGUCGAACAAGCUCUCCGGCAACGUGCCGCAGGCGCUUGCGAAGCCGACACUCACCGCCCUAACCUGUCCUCGAACCAUCAGACCGGCCAGGUCCCGGCCGGGUUCGCCACCGCGGUCUACGACACCAGCUUCCUCAACAACCCCGGCCUCUGCACCGCCGCUUGGGGACCUGGCUACCUCACGGGCGUACGCUCCUGCGCCGGUGGAUCACAAGACGGCGGUUCCUCCGGAGGCGUGUCGCACGCCCUGCGCAGGGGAACCUCGCCGUGGCGUUCGCCUUCUUCGUCGUCCGCGACAUCAAGAAACGGCGGCGCGUCGCGGAGCAAGACAACUGGAAGAUCACGCCUUUCGUCAAAGAUCUGGGAUUCGGUGAGGCACCCAUACUCCGGGGGCUGACGGAGGAGAACCUCGUCGGGCGCGGGGGAUCGGGGCGCGUGUACCGCGUCGCCUACACCAACCGGCUUAACGGCCGAGCCGGCGCGGUGGCCGUAAAGCAAAUACGGACCGCCGGGAAGCUCGACCAGAAGCUGGAACGCGAAUUCGCGUCAGAGGCUGGCAUCAUCGGCAACCUCCGGCACAACAACAUCGUCAAGCUCUUGUGUUGCCGCUCCAGCGCCGAGUCCAAGCUCCUCGUGUACGACUAUGGACAACGGCAUCCUGGACAGGUGGCUCCACGGCGACGCCCUCGUCGCCGGCGGGCGCCCCAUGGCGAGGGCGCGGUCCGCGCGGCGCGAGCCGCUGGACUGGCCGGCGAGGCUCAGGGUGGCCGUCGACGCCGCGCAGGGGCUGUGCUACAUGCACCACGAGUACGAGCCGCCCAUCGUCCACCGCGACGUCAAGACGAGCAACAUCCUGCUGGACUCGGAGUUCCGGGCCAAGAUCGCCGACUUCGGGCUGGCCACAGGAUGCUGCUGCAGGCCGGGGCGCCGGAAACGAUGUCCGCCGUCGCUGGCUCGUUCGGCUACAUGGCUCCUGGUAAGGAUUCGAACUUGCUGCUUUCAGUGAAUUUCUGUCCCAUUUCUACAAAUGCCACGUGUUCUCGUGUUGCCGGACCUUAGAUUGGGCCUUUUGAUGCUUAUCUGCAGAGUGUGCUUACACCAAGAAGGUGAACGAGAAGGUAGACAGCUUCGGUGUCAUUCUCCUGGAGCUCACCACCGGAAAGGAGGCCAACAACGGCGGCGAGCACGGCUGCCUGGCGGACUGGGCACGGCGCCACUACCAAUCAGGAGGGAGCAUCGCCGACGCCACAGACAAGAGCAUCAGAUACGACGGGUACUCUGACGAGAUCCAGGUUGUCUUCAGGCUCGGCGUGCUCUGCACCGCCGAUAUGCCGUCGUCGCGGCCAACCAUGAACGACGUGCUGCAGAUCUUGGUCAAGUGCAGCGAGCAGACGUACCACAAGGGCAAGACGGAGCGUGGCCCAGAGUAUGAGGUGGCUCUUCUACCCAAACGCGGCAGUCGCCGGAAACAGCUUUCAAACGGCUCGGGGAUUUACAUCGAAGAGAAGAUGACAGCAUUGUCUGAAGAAAGGAACUGACCACUGCAUAUGCCAGUAAGCAGCUUGUGACAUCGUCAGUGAACUGCUUGCUAUAGUGAUACUUCACAUUUUAGCAGAGUACAGCGGAGAAUUAUGCCUCUAAUCUUUUUUUUUCUGAGGAGCUAAGUAUCUUUAUAUUAAAAAGAGAAUAUAAAUAGAAAAAAUCAGUCCAUUGGAAGCAACCACUCUAGCUCACCUAGGAGAAUAGAGAGAUUGCAUAAACAAGCGAAGAAAAAACCGUCACCAGACCUUGACCCUGCACGGCUGGACUAGGGACAUGCAUAGUAUAGAGCAGGGCUUGUGGUUAGCCAAACCGUUCUGUGUAUUGAUACUGCAAAUCUGUAUUAAAUCACACACACAUUAUACGUUCCGACAGAAGAACUAGCAAACAUUACGAUUAUACUCCCUCCGUUCUUAAAUAUAUAACGCUAUUGACUUUUUCAUUUGUUUGACUAUUCAUCUUUUCUACAAAUAUUUUUGCAAAUAGAUAAAUCUACGAGUUAAAUCUAAAGUACAUUUCACAAUAGUCAUAAUGAUACACAUUUUACUUUAGUUAACUAACUCAUUCAAUAGAUAUUGAUGGUCAAAGUUGGAGUAAAAAGCCAACAGCAUCAUAUAUUUAAGAAUGGAGGGAGUAAUUUAUUUCUGAAAUAAAGGCAGGAGAUGGAGCUCUGCUUAUCCAUUCAGAAAUUAGUACGAUUGAAUGAUUUUGUCUCCUUCCAGUUUUUAUUGUAAAACACAGAAUAUUACACGGAUAGGCACUGAUUGUUAUCCGGAAGAAAAUGAAUUUUUAUAUUUCAAAAGAAAAGGCCCAAUUUGCACCCUCUAGCUAGCACGAUAAUCCAAUUUUCAGCUAAACUGACCAUGGGCCGGCCCAAAGGCACAGGAAUUUGGCCCGGUCUAGGCAUGGCGGCCGUCGUGCUCGUGCUAACCCGACCCACACCAUGGGCCGUGCUUGGGCCGUUGCCUCAGCCCACGUACUGGUCCGGCACGGCCUGCCCAUUUGGCCCGUCGGGAUUAAGUGGGCGGCCCAUCCUAUUAAGGCCCACUCGACCGCAUAUAAAACCCCCCACCCCCAAACGGCCAAACCCUACCUUCCUCUUCGUGUCCCGCGCCCUUCGCCGCCGUCACCUCCCCCGCGCCCUUCGCCGCCUCUCGCGCCCGCCGGCCGCUCACGCCCUCCGCCGCUUCCCCCCGCCGCCUCCCUCACGCCCUCCGCCGCAUCCUCCCACCGCCUCCCUCGUGCCCUCCGCCACCUCCCGCGCCCGCCGGCCUCUCGCUCCCCUGCCACCUCCCCCGCGGCCCUCUGCCGCCUCCUACACCCGCCGGUCCCUUGCCGCAAUUGGGGAAGAUGGUGGCCUGCACGGCGGCGCGCGCAAACGUCCUGUCGUCCCUCGGCGGUGGGAGCUGCGGCACGAGUGGGCGCCUGGGCAGAUCCGGGAAAGGUCUAUGGGCGCCCUGACGACGAGGUGGUCGAAGUCAUCGGGGCUAUCGAACUCGACGACGACAGGCGCUACGGGCGUAUGAGCAGAGGAAGGGUGAAUUCUGUGCCGCAGGCUGGCACGAGCACGGUGAGGCCGUUAAGGCCUGCCAGGCCAGCGUGCCAGCACGGCCCACCUAAGAAGGCUGCGGGUCAUGCCUGGACCGCUCCUUCGGCACAUGGGCCGGCACGGCCUGGCACUAUUACCGUGCAAGCCUAACCGUGCCGGGCCUAACCGUGCCAGGCCAAAUCGUGCUCGUGCCAGGCCGGGUUGGGCUACCUGUUUGGCCAUCUAUACAUCCAACGGUUGAAACCAGAUAAAUUUUAUCCUUUAGCUGGUUUCAAAGAUGUUUUUUUGUUUUAUUAGACAUUUAAAAAAAAUCUGAUUUAAUCUUGUUGGGGGGAAAUAUUAACGAUCCCCUAAAUACCACUUAAAGGAGCAGACGCGAAGGCCCGGGCCCACCUAAGCAUAAUCAAAACUCCGCCUCGCCCGACCGCGGCCUCAGGGUCAGGAACGCCCGACCCCCCUCCACGAGGUUUCCGCCUCGUCCGACUGCGGCCCCAGGGUCGAAGGCGCCCGAUCCCUCGCCACAAGGUUCCGCCUCGUCCGACCCCAAGCGCAGGGGUCGGGCUCGCUGGGGCCCCCAGGGCAGGCAUCCCCCUCGGAUGUGGACCAGGUGGGCAAGAUAAACAAAUCUUGCGGGUCCCCCCCCCCAUCGGCCUCGUCAUAAAUGCGCUGCGGGCCUGGCAGAGGGAGGAAUGACCACGCUCCUCACACAACCCGCCGCAAGUACCCAUGCACGACCAUACUGUACAAGCUACAGCGCUGGCGGCUCACUCCCAUUCGCCGCAGGGUACUCAUGGCCUGCGCCGACCGGAGCGGAGGAGAGACUCGCCUGUCCUCGAGCCCCGCGCACCCUCGGGUCCCGUGCGCCUGGCAUCUAGGAUGUGACGCCCUCUCUCCAGGAGCCAUCAUCAGAAUGGCAGCAUCCACCGUCCUCCCCAACGGACACCGGGAUAACGACGAAACGCCCUCAUCAUAACCCGACGCCUACGGAUGCCGAAGGAGCUAUCUGUAGGGUGCAACGACAGUUGGCGCACGGCCGCCUCCCCCUCCGGCAUGCACGCCGGCGCUCGCCAGGAGCCGGCGGAGGCGUCGGGCGUCUAGGAACUUGUUCCUCCCAUCCUGCCGUAUUUUUUACCGUACUACGUUCACAUUUUACGGUCCUCUUCGCCCGAUCCCAACUGUAACUCUGGCCACUCCCCUUGCGAUAUAAAAGGAGGAACACAGGGCCGGAGGGGGGGAUCGGCUUCUUCCCCCUCAAGCCACAGCAUGCUAGUACGCUCCCUGAGAACAUAGGCUCAAAGAGACUUGGGACCAGUCCCUCUCUCGUCGGUCUGUAACCCCUACUACAGAACCCCGCGUGGGCAAUACGAGCAUCCACGAUACUGGACGUAGGGCUCCCUUUGCUCGAACCAGUCUAAUCCGUGUCUCCCACGCCACCAUCUGAGGCCUUACGCGCAUAAAAGAAAUUUACUAGUCUAAGUCUUGAUCCGCCAAUCUUGACAACGACAGUUGGCGCGCUAGGUAGGGGACCUUUGCGCAUACCCUCCCAGCCUCAGAUGGCCAAUUACGAUAGUAGCUUUGCUCCGGGCUCCCUGAUCCGAUUCGGGAGCCUGGACUUCCUCGCCACCGGGGAAGGGAUCAAGCUGAUCCCUGUCCUCAUCCUGCCCGCUCGCCCGCCUGCCCCCGGCCCCGCCGCCGGGACAGCGGUGAGCGGCCGCUCGCAUACCGGAAGGACCUCGCCAGGGGGACGGCCCUUCGGGCUACGCAAUGCCACGGGGGCCUACGGACGCCUCCUAGCGCGGUCCAUGACCGCGUCGCCCGCGAGCAACGAGCUCGUAGGUGCGACAAGGACGAUCUCCGACACCGGCUCCAGCAGCGGGAGCCCCCACCCCUCGCGUGAGUGCCUCGUGGUCGACGAGCACUCUGAGGGAUCCAACAGCAACGAUGCCGAGGAGAGACAAAGGGCUGCCCCUCGCGCGCCGCGGCUAUGACCGGAGCCUUACCAAGGGCACCAGAGUGCUCUCAGCAACGAGAGGCGCGCGCGGGCGCCCGCCAAGAAGUCGAGCACCCCCACCACGAGGGAGGAGCGCGACAACGGGCGCGAGACGUCCAGCGACGCAUCUGCGCGGAUGAAGAGCGUCCGCAGCUUUUCGCCCGCGCCAGCCAAAACGUCGCAGCCGCGGCGGUGUUGCUCCGACAGCUCCCCGAACCAGCGAUGCCCGAGGAGCGACGGGCACGCCAAGAGAUGCGCGACCUGCUCGAAUGCGCCGCCGUCCAGCAGGCGGAAAGCUCCGCGUCCCGGCGACGCGGGCAGAAUGCCAGCAGGGCGACGCCCGACGCGCCCCCGGAAAGGCGGGGGGAAUCAGUCCAUCUACCCCCUCCUGGGGCGAAUCAGGCCGCGUCCGCCCGACGGACUCCACCACCCGCGGGAGGCGAGGCUCGAUCCGUCCACCAGCGCGUCGGCCUCGUCCGCGACGCCCGCGACACCCUAAACGCGCGGAGACGCUCCCGCGCGGACAGGGAGGACGGGGUAGAUCGAGGCUACCACGUCCACCGUGGCGGGCGCUACGACAGCGGGGAAGACCGCAGCCUGAGCCCCGGUCCGGCUGGGCCCCGGGCCUUCUGUGCGCGCAUCCUGAACGCGCCUUUUCCGCCGCGCUUCAGGCAACCCAUGAGUAUAGCCAAAUACUCAGGGGAGACGAAUCCUGGAGUGUGGCUCAGCGAUUACCGGCUUGCAUGUCAAGCCGGCGGGGCGGAUGAUGACCUGUUUAUCAUCCGCAACCUACCCCUCUUCCUAGCCGACUCAACGCGAGCUUGGCUAGAACAUAUCCCUUCGGGACGAGUUCGCAACUGGAAUGACCUGAAGGAGGUUUUCAUAGGGAACUUCCAGGGCACGUACACACGCCCCGACAAUUCCUGGGACCUCCGGAGCUGUCGUCAGGGGGCGGACGAGUCCCUCCGAGAUUAUAGCCGGCGCUUCUCCAGGAAGCGCACCGAGCUCUCCAACGUCGCGGACGCCGAUGUCAUAGGAGCUUUCCUAGCAGGAACCUCCUGCCGGCCCCUCGUCCACGAGCUGGGGUGCCGAGGCCCGCGAACCACGGAGGAGCUCCUCAAUAUCGCCACUAGUUACGCCUCGGGCGAAGAGGCCGUUGGAGCAAUCUUCGACCGCUCCAAAGGCAAGGCGAAACGGGAGGAGGUUGCUGGCGAAGGCACCUCCAACCGCCAGCAGAAGAAGAAGGGCAAGUUACGGCGCGAGGCCCCCCUCGUGGCCGCAGCUGAGCGCAAGCGAGGGCCGCCGCCCCCCGAGGGCGCUCCCGGCUUCUUCGACAAGUUGCUUGAGGGACCGUGCCCGAACCACGAGUUCCCCGUGAAGCACGCCUACAAAGACUGCAACCUCAUGAAGAGAUACUUCAUGGGCAAUUCGGUGAAAGGCGACCGGAAGCGGAAGCCCGAUGAGGAAAAGAAGGGCGACGAAGAGAAGGAAGACGGCUUCCCCAAGGUGGACGGCUGCUUCAUGAUCUUCGGGGGCUCUGCGGCAUACGACACCAAGCGCCAGUAGAAGCUGGAGCGCCGGGAGGUCUACGCGGCCGAGCCAGCGACUCCGGCCUUCCUGGACUGGUCAGGGCCGGCCAUCACCUUCGACAGGACCGACCACCCUGGACGCGUCCGGCACCCGGGGCGUUACCCUCUCGUCGUCGACCCCAUCGUCGGCACGACGCGCCUCACCAAGGUGCUCAUGGACGGAGGCAGCAGCCUCAACAUCCUCUACGCCGAGACCCUCGACGCUAUGGGGAUCGACCGUUCCCGCCUCCAUCCCAGCAAGGCGCAUUUCCAUGGCGUCGUGCCAGGGAAGCAGGCGAUGCCUCUCGGGCAAAUCGACCUGCGCGUUACGUUCGGGACCCCUUCCAACUACAGGAAGGAGGUCCUCACAUUCGAGGUGGUGGGGUUCCGCGGAACCUACCACGCCAUCUUGGGACGGCCUUGCUACGCAAAGUUCAUGGCUAUCCCCAACUACACCUACCUCAAGCUCAAGCUGCCGGGGCCCAACGGGGUCAUCACCGUCGGCACGACCUUUCAGAAGGCGUACGAGUGCGACGUAGAGUGCUGCGAGUACGCCGCGGCCAUCACCGUCACGAGCGAUUCGGCAGUCCAGCUUGCGGAGGCCACCGAGGACCGGCCCGACUCCAGGCAGCCGAACAUCUCCUUCGAGCCCGCUGAAGGUAUCAAGGAGGUCCCCCUUGAUCCCGGUUGUUCCAACGGAGGAGUCGUGCGGAUCAGCGCGGCCCUAUCCCCCAAAUAGGAAAGCGCGCUCGUUGACUUCCUCCGCGCGAACAGCGACGUCUUCGCGUGGAAGCCAUCGGACAUGCCAGGCAUUCCGAGGGAAGUCGCCGAGCACUCCUUGAACAUCAGGGCCGGUUCCAAGCCAGUAAAGCAAGGAUUGCGCCGUUUCGACGAGGAAAGGCGCAAGGCCAUCGGCGAAGAGCUCCAGAAGCUUCUGGCGGCCGGGUUCAUCAAGGAAGUGCACCACCCCGAGUGGCUAGCUAAUCCUGUCCUUGUACCAAAAAAGAAUGGGAAAUGGAGGAUGUGUGUCGAUUAUAACGGUCUCAACAAAGCGUGUCCAAAGGACCCGUUUCCUUUGCCACGCAUAGAUCAAAUAGUCGACUCAACUGCCGGGUGCGAGACCCUCAGCUUCCUCGACGCAUAUUCCGGCUACCAUCAGAUCGCGAUGAAAGAGGCCGACCAGCUCGCUACCUCCUUCAUCACCCCCUUCGGUCCCUACUGCUACGUUAAGAUGCCAUUCGGCCUCAAAAACGUGGGGGCUACCUUCCAGCGAUGCAUGCUGUAGUGCUUCGGAGACCUCAUUGGGCGGACCGUUGAGGCCUACGUUGACGACAUCGUCGUAAAAUCCCGGAGGGGCGACCAGCUCGUUCCCGUCCUUGAACUAGCCUUCGAGAGGCUGAGGGAUAAGCGUAUUAAGCUCAAUCCCAAGAAAUGUGUGUUCGGAGUCCCAAGGGGCAUGCUGUUAGGCUUCAUCGUCUCCGUGCGCGUCAUCGAAGCAAACCCGGAGAAGAUAGCGGCCAUUAGAGACAUGGGGCCGAUCCGGAACAUAAAGGGAGUUCAGCGCAUCAUGGGAUGCUUGGCAGCUCUAAGCCGCUUCAUCUCGCGCCUCGGCGAGCGAGGGCUUCCUUUCUAUCGGCUCCUGAAGAAGACUGACCGUUUCGAAUGGACCAGCGAGGCCCAGGAGGCACUUGACCGACUCAAGGACCUCCUGACGAAGGCCCCGAUCCUAGUCCCGCCUACCGACGGCGAGUCCCUCCUGCUCUACGUCGCGGCGACCACCCAGGUGGUUAGCGCGGCCUUGGUGGUGGAACGAGAAGAGGAAGGACACGCUCUCAAGGUGCAACGCCCGGUGUAUUUCAUCAGCGAAGUCUUGUCCGAGUCCAAGACACGUUACCCGCAGAUCCAGAAGCUCGUCUACGCCAUCCUUAUCACAAAGAGGAAGCUGCGCCACUACUUCACCUCCCACCCGGUAACAGUCAUUUCGUCAUUCCCGUUAGGCGAAGUAAUCCGGAACCCAAAUGCUACAGGGAGAAUCGCGAAGUGGGCGCUUGAGCUCAUGGACCAGGGUAUCACCUACGUCCCCCGCACCGCCAUCAAGUCCUAGGCACUCGCCGACUUCGUGGCAGAGUGGACGGAGAUUCAAACGCCAUCGGCGCCAGAGAAGCAGGAGUAUUGGACAAUGUACUUCGACGGGUCACUGAUGAGGGCCCGCGCCGGAGCGGGUCUCGUUUUCGUCUCUCCCUUGGGCAUGCGCAUCAGGUACAUGAUCCACCUUCAUUUUCCUGCAUCUAAUAAUGUCGCCGAGUACGAAGCCCUCCUCAACGGACUCCGCAUCGCCAUCGAGCUGGGCAUCCGUCGGCUGGACAUCCGGGGCGAUUCCCAGUUGGUCGUCGAACAAGUCAUGAAGGAGUGGAGCUGCCACGACCCCAAAAUGGCAGCCUACUGCAACGAGGUCCGUAAGCUCGAAGACAAAUUCGACGAGCUAGAGCUCAACCACGUCGCAAGGCGCUUCAACGAAGCCGCCGACGAGCUGGCGAAGGCGGCAUCCGAAUGAAUGCUCGUCCCCGACGGCGUCUUCGUUAGCGACCAGUUGAAGCCCUCAAUCCGUUACCCAGAACUGCAGGGGUCGGCGAAGCACCCCCGGCCCUGGGAUCGGGACCCGAGUCAGGGGAGGUCGGCAGCGCGCCACCUGUCCGAGACCCGAGCACCAGCCCCGAGGGGGUCGACAACGCUUUGCCCAACUCGGCCCCGGGAGCCGAUCCGUCCGACCCCGGGGUCAUGGAAAUCACGGCAGAUUCCGCGGCGGGUGCCGACCCCCCGAUCGAUUGGAGAGCCCCAUACAUCGACUACCUCGUCCGCGACACGCUCCCGGCAGACAAAACGGAGGCCCGUAGGAUCGCGCGCCGCGCCAAAUCCUUCGCCAUCAUCGACCAGGAGCUCUACAAGAAAAGCCACACUGGAAUCCUCCAGCGCUGCAUCUCGAUCGAACAGGGAAAGGCGCUGAUCAAGGAUAUCCACGCCGGAGCCUGUGGUCACCACGCCGCGCCAAGGACCCUCGUUGGUAACGCCUUCCGACAAGGUUUUUACUGGCCGACCGCGGUCGCGGACGCUACCCAGGUAGUCCGCACCUGUGAAGGAUGCCAGUUCUUUGCCCGCCAGACUCACCUGCCCGCGCAGGCGUUGCAGACCAUCCCCAUCACGUGGCCAUUUGCGGUUUGGGGGCUAGAUCUCGUCGGACCCUUCAAGAAGGCACCCGGGGGCUUCACCCAUCUGCUCGUCGCCAUCGACAAGUUCUCCAAAUGGAUCGAGGCAAGACCGGUGGCGCAAAUCAGGUCCGAGCAGGUGGUCCAGUUCUUCACCGACAUCAUCCACCGCUUCGGGAUCCCGAAUUCCAUCAUCACCGACAACGGCACACAGUUCACUGGGAAGAGAUUCCUCCAGUUCUGCGACGACCACCACAUCCGAGUGGAUUGGGCGGCCGUGGCACACCCCCGCACGAACGGGAAAGUCGAGCGAGCCAAUGGCAUGAUACUCCAGGGUCUCAAGCCAUGGAUCUUCGACCGCCUUAAAAAAUUCGACGGACGGUGGGUUGCGGAGCUUCCCGCAGUCCUUUGGAGCCUGAGGACGACCCCCAGCCGGGCGACGGGCUUCACCCCGUUCUUCAUGAUCUACGGGUCAGAGGCCAUUUUGCCCACCGAUCUAGAGUACAGAUCGCCAAGGGUCAAGGCAUACGACGAACAGGGAAACCAGGCAUCAUUCGAGGACGCGCAAGAUCAACUCGAUGAAGCGCGAGACGUAGCUCUACUGCACUCGGCUAAGUACCAGCAGGCCCUACGGCGUUACCACAGCCGCAAGGUGCAAGGCUGAGCCUUCAACGUCGACGACUUGGUGCUCCGCCUCGUCCAAGACAACAGGGGUCGGCACAAGUUGACUCCCCCAUGGGAAGGCCCGUUCAUCGUCGUACAAGUUCUACGGCUGGGCACCUACAAGCUGGCAACUCCCGACGGGCAGGUUUUCAGCAACGCCUGGAACAUAGAACAGCUAAGGUGCUUUUACCCAUAGCUUUUAUUUCCAAGCCCUGCAUAAAACUUGUCUUCAAUUCCGAUAUUUCCUUUAAGCUCAGGGGUAUCCGACCCUGGCCUCGUUCCAGGGCCGCAUACCCCUCGGGGGCUACCAGUUUUGCUCCUCUGCGAAAAAAAAGAAACCCCGAGCCGUCUCGGUUCAGGCCUUUUCCUUUAAGCUCAGGGGUAUCCGACCCUAGCCUCGCUCCAGGAUCGCAUACCCCUCGGGGGCUAUCAGAGGUUCCGACCCCAGCCGCUCGGCCCUAUCUAAAAGAAACAUUUUUUCUUUUCAAACCGAACACUCCCUUUCUAGACCUUUGGGCGCAAAAAAGAGAAGGAUGCGCGAACGGUGCUCAGGCAAGUUUGAUCGGACUGCGAAAAAACCUACGCCCCAGCGGCUACGGCACCUUCGCUCAUCAAAACUUAAUGACGCACCCGACAACGCAUUCUAAACUUUCAAGCCCAAAGGAACAGCAAAGGGGAUCGGGAUCUUUCGCACAACGAAGUCAUAAACAAGCCUGUAUGGCCAUCACAAAAUAAGUUCGAAACUAACAUAAUUACAUUUUGGGCACAAGCCCGGUACAGUUAACUUGACGAGGGGUCGGCAGGAGGGAUGACCUCAUCUUCCAGGAGCUUCGCGAGGGCCUCCGCCGGCGCGGACACCGCUGCAUCAAUCCCGUCCAGCUCAGCUUCGGUGUAAUCAGCGGCGUACCCUUCACUCAUCCCGGCAAAGUUGAUGCCAGAAUAAUGGGAGCCGAAGACCCCGAAGGCUCGCCGCAUGCCGACGUGAAGCGCGUCCAUGGCGAUCUCGCGACGUCGACGGCGUACCCCAAGGACACGAGCCGGCAGAGAGCUCGACCCCUCCUCCGGAACUACGCCAAAGUCGUCACAGACGACGCGGACCGCAUCCCGCAAGGCGCCGUGCUCGCCGUGCUCCGCGUCGAGCAAACCCUUCAGCUUGGCGAUUUCGCCUGCAGGAACCACCCAGAAAAGCCCACCAAGUCAAGAACAGAACACAAAAUGUCACGGGAACGCGGGAACGGAAAAAAAAAGCCUCACCGUCGGCCCAGGCCUUCAACUCGCGCUCCCGGUCGGCUCCUUGAGACACGGCGGACUGGAGUCCCUGCACUUGCGAGCGAAGGCGACCAGUCUCCGCGCUAAGGGCUUCACGCUCCCCCCUCAGCUGUGCAAGCUCCCCGGCAUCACGACGGGCCCUCUCAGCGGCAGCUUGAAGCUCCUCGGCGUCGCGGCGGACCCUCUCAGCGACAGCUUGGAACUCCUCGUGGUCGAGGCGGGCUUUCUCGAUGACGGCUUGGAGCUUGGCCUCCGAUCACCGCGCCUCCUCCAACGCCGCCCCCUCACGCCUUUGCAGGUCCCGAAUGACCCCCUGGGCGGCAGUGACUUGCAGGGACAGGUCCCUGGUGCGCUCCCUCUCCGCGUUGAAGCGCUCCCAGAGACCCUGCUGCAGCCGAAGGAAAUCAGAUUUCCCCCGACUGCCCUCUUGGAGGGCCUGCAAAGCAACGUGCCAUUAGAAAAAAAAAAGCAAAAGGGAGGUGCUGAUCACCAACAGUAGGAGCAACAUACCUGGCUGCCAGGGAGGACGGUGUUACCCAGAACCCCCAACGCCGAAGACAGAGCCGCCUCAACGUGGGCAAGGCCGCCCUGCAUCGCCUGCCACUUGUGCCACUCAGUGGCGUCGUCCAGCGUGAAGAGAUGCCUCGGCGGGUCAUCGCGGGAUGACCAGCGAAGGACAGACCCCCUCCACGCCCUGGGAACGGAGGGAGCCGAGGCCGAGGCAGGGGCCGAUCCUGACGCUGCCGUCAAGGUCGGCACCAUUGCACUAGAAGCCGCCGAGUUUACUGACGGCCCCGGCACCUGCACGCUCGUCGCCGCCGAGGCCGCCGGCGGUAUCCCAGUGGGCCCCUCCGCCUCCGCCGCCGGAGCCACUCCCGCGGGGGUAAUUGGGGCGGAGGCCCCCGCCUCCGUCACCGUUGCCUCCGCCGCCGCGCUUUCGGGGGCAGGCGUUCCCUCCGCCACCGAUCCCGCCGCGGCUGCGGGGGCAUCCGCCCUACCUCCCGUCGCCGCCGUCUCCUCUGCCUCGUCGGCGUCGAAGUCGAUCACCUUCCCGGCCUGAGAACCCGGGGGGAUCGUGCCCUGCGCUGUAGGGGCGACUGGGGGGACCGAAGGCGGAGUAGGGUCCGCUCCCCCUCCCACGGCUGACACCGCCGUCGCUCCGCCGGCCGCCACCACAGGGGCCGCCUCCGCGGAGGGGUCCGCGGCCUCACCAGGGACCCCGCCGCUCGCCGCGGGCGGGACCGCGGUCCGCCCCCCAGAGGAGGUUGACAACCGCAACGCCUUCUUAGGCACCAGCUGCAGGGCAAGGCCACGAGGGGCGGCGCUGCAUAUCGACAAACAGACGUCAGCACAAACGAGCGUGAGAAGAGGAGAGGAACGAGGCGCAAGGAAGGCCAACUUACGUCCUUGAAGCACAAGGGCGGCGCGCGCGCUUCGACUCAGAGCCCGACGCCGACCCCGGGGCAUCUGGCAGCGGCCGCUUGUCGCCACUUCGCUGCUCUCCAGUCGCGGGCACGGCGGUGGAGGCAGUCUCUGCAGAUCUCCGAGGAGCACCCUGAGCGGACUCCUGGGGAGCGCCCCGCGCCGGCUCUGAAGUGGCGGCGGGGGCAGGCUCCGAGGACCCCCGAGGGGCGCUCCGCGCCAGCUUUGGGAAGGAGCCCCGUGUCGACCCCUGGGGGGCACCCUUCACCGACCCCUGGGGAGCGUCCCGCGCCCGCUCCUGGGAGGCACCCCGCGCCGGCCCCUGGGGGGCGUUCCGCGUCGACUCCUGGGGGGCGUCUCGUGCCGGCUCCGAAGCGGCGGCGGGGGCAGGCUCCGAAGACCCCCGAGGGGCGCUCCGUAUCGACCCCUGGGGGGCACCCCUUGCCGACCCCUGGGGAGCGUCCCGCGCUCGCUCUUGGGACACGCCCCGCGUCGGCCCCUGGGGGGCGUCCCGCGUCGUCUCCUGGGGACACGCUGUACUGGCCCCUGGGGCGCAGCCCCAGGGCCUGGUGGAGCCGAAGCCCGGGCGGGCGCCUCCUCCACUUCACCUCCCGCGGCCGUCCGCGGGGGUGCCUCACGAAUGGCGAGGGCGCCCGAUCGGAAGGAGGAAAUCAGCUCCUCCUCAUCAUCAUCUUCCUCAUCUUCAUCCUCUUCAUCAUCGUCGUCAUCAUCGUCGUCGUCGUCAUCGAACACGACCGACCCCCUCCGCCGCCGUUGGAACUCCUUAGCGGCCUUCUUCCUCUUCUUCGCCAUCUCGAUGUCCUUCCGGCGCUUCUGCGCCUCGGCGAGGAGACGGUUGUGCGUCCGCCGCUCAACAUCUUCCGGCACCGGCGGGAGCGAGUGCGCGACCCGGGUUAGCGGACCCUACAAACGCAAAGCAGCUCCACGUCAGAGUGACAAUCGCAAGACACGAAGAAAGGAGGAGGACGCCCCAACUCCUUACCAGAUCUAUGAGCCCGCAUCCGGGCGCAUCGGCGGGUGCCCGGGAAUCGGGUACUCGACGUCCUUGUCCUCCAGCGCCUCCCGAAUCCGUUGCCGGAUCUCGGAAGCGACGAGCGCACCCGUCGCCAAGGCGGUGCCCUCGGUCGGCGCGUCGGGGGUCAUGGCGGCAAGCGGUCGGAUUCAGAGCAUCAGUGGCGCCACCCGUCGGGUGUGGUACGCUCCGAUGACCCCGGCGCCGGUGAGCCCGUCCCGCUUCAGCCGCUCGAUGGCCUGCAGCAGGUCGAAGAACCGCUUCUUGUCCUUCUCCACUGGCCCGUACGCCCACACCUCCGGCGCCGCGUCGAUGGUACGGCCGGUGAAAGCCGGCAGGGGGGAGUUCGGGUAGUUCUUCACAUAGAACCACUGGUUGUGCCACCCCUUGUGGGACGCCGAGGUCUUCAUCGUCAUGUUCUCCUUGGAGCGGGUAUGACGAAGGUGGAUCCCGGCGCACCCGAUCGGCACCGGAGGUGACCGCUGCUGGCUCCCUCGCUUCUCCGUCUUCUGGUACAGGCUCACUGUGAAAAAGUAUUUCCACAGCGAGAAGUGGGGCUCAAUGCCUAGGAAUCCCUCGCACAGGGCGACGAACGCCGCAAUGUGCUGGAUCCCAUUGGGUUUGAGGUGCUGGAGCUCGAGCCCAUAGUAGUGGAGGAGCCCCCGAAAGAAGCGGCUCGAGGGAGAGGCGAACCCCCGCUCAUGGAAGUGAGCGAAGGAGACGAUGUAGCCAGAGAGAGGCUCCGGCACCUGCUCCGGGCCCGACAGCAACCACUCAGCCGCCUCCGUCUUCUCGCAGAGGAGGCCUUUUCGCACCAGGCCCUCGGCGCGCGAGGAGGUGAAAUGGGAGAUCCCCCAGGAACCCAUCGCCGGAGGAGGGAGAUCAACGGAGGUGAGAAGAAAGGGCACGGCUUGGAGCAAAGGAAACGAAGCGGGCACGGACAAACUGAACGCUAGGCUGGAGGGCGGAAAGGCUCGAAUGCAGAAGGCGGGCGGAACCGGCGCGGCGGGCUCCCGUUUUUAUAGGAAAGGUACGGGAGAAGCCAAAUCGACGCCCCGGCCGCCAUAAAUGCGGCGCCAGGUACGCCCCUGCCACGCCCGUUUCCUUUUCGAAAACCGCGCGCACGGCCGGCCGCGAAAACAUCCUAUCCUCCUCGAUUCGCGGGAUGGCGCUUCCCAUAACUCCACCUCCCGGAAGGCACGACGUCCCCCACGUUCGGCCCAGACGUCACGACCGCUCCGUUCUGGCCCAAGGCCCACCGAAAGGUAAGAAAGGGAUACGGGGCUGAAAACGCCCCUACGGCCCAUUACGGUCCAGAGGUUCGAAGGCUGGCCCACCGCGGGAUCGACAGCUGCCUCAGGAUAUCUCCCGAGCAAGGGGUGAGAAGGGACGGGUCCACUAGCGGCCAACACCCAGGCAAGCGAAAGCCAAGGGCGUCCCGACCUCACGUUCGAGUCCCGUCCGGUAUAAAGUUCAUGGUUUUUCCACGGGGAAAGGCAACGAGCCCCCGGAUUCGGCCGAACGGACCCGGGAACUAUAUGAACUGGCCGGCGGGAAAUUGUAGUACGCCACCAGCUUGGCCCGAGCCGGACCCCCCCGAACGGGGACCGGGACUCCACUCGAACCUACCUGUUCGCAGCUCAAAGCGAGCACCACGGUUCGUCCAACUAGGAUAACGUGGCACGGCUCAACCCCUCCGUCCUAGCGAACGGACGCUUGAGGGGCAACGACCAAAAGUCGACCUGGCCUCCCGACCGGUCUCCCGCAACGAGCAGGGGCUCGGGGGCUAGCAUCGCAACCAACGACCAUGCGUAUGGUCACGAUUCCCAGGCUCCCCGGCCAAACCGGGAUGAAGCAAGCGCACCAUAAACAAAAUCCACGGAGAAACGGCGAAAGAAGCCUCCGGAGGAGCACUUUUUGCUCCACCACAGGCUCGGGGGCUACUGUUGGGGGGAAAUAUUAACGAUCCCCUAAAUACCGCUUAAAGGAGCAGACGCGAAGGCCCGGGCCCACCUAAGCAUAAUCAAAACUCCGCCUCGCCCGACCGCGGCCUCAGGGUCAGGAACGCCCGACUCCCCUCCACGAGGUUUCCGCCUCGUCCGACUACGGCCCCAGGGUCGGAGGCGCCCGACCCCUCGCCACAAGGUUCCGCCUCGUCCGACCCCAAGCGCAAGGGUCGGGCUCGCUGGGGCCCCCAGGGCAGGCAUCCCCCUCGGAUGCGGACCAGGUGGGCAAGGUAAACAAAUGCUGCGGGUCCCUCCCCCGUCGGGCUCAUCAUAAAUGCGCCGCAGGCCUGGCAGAGGGAGGAAUGACCGUGCUCCUCACACAACCCGCCGCAAGUACCCAUGCACGACCAUACUCUACAAGCUACAGCGCUGGCGGCUCACUCCCAUUCGCCGCAGGGUACUCAUGGCCUGCGCCGACCGGAGCGGAGGAGAGACUCGCCUGUCCUCGGGCCCCGCGCACCCUCGGGUCCCGUGCGCCUGGCAGCUAGGAUGUGACGCCCUCUCUCCAGGAGCCAUCAUCAGAACGGCAGCAUCCACCGUCCUCCCCAACGGACACCGGGAUAACGACGAAACGCCCUCAUCAUAACCCGACGCCGACGGAUGCCGAAGGAGCUAUCUGUAGGGUGCGACGACAGUUGGCGCACGGCCGCCUCCCCCUCCGGCAUGCACGCCGGCGCUCGCCAGGAGCCGGCGGAGGCGUCGGGCGUCUAGGAACUUGUUCCUCCCAUCCUGCCGUAUUUUUUACCGUACUACGUUCACAUUUUACGGUCCUCUUCGCCCGAUCCCAACUGUAACUCUGGCCACUCCCCUUGCGAUAUAAAAGGAGGAAGACAGGGCCGGAGGGGGGAUCGGCUUCUUCCCCCUCAAGCCACAGCACGCUAGUACGCUCCCUGAGAACAUAGGCACAAAGAGACUUGGGACCAGUCCCUCUCUCGUCGGUCUGUAACCCCUACUACAGAACUCCGCGUGGGUAAUACGAGCAUUCACGAUACUGGACGUAGGGCUCCCUUUGCCCGAACCAGUCUAAUUCGUGUCUCCCACGCCACCAUCUGAGGCCUUACGCGCAUAAAAGAAAUUUACUAGUCUAAGUCUUGAUCCGCCAAUCUUGACAACGACAAAUCUAAAAAUCCAUAACUAAUUAAUUUUAAAUCAUAAAAGUUUGAAACUAUUACCCAUCAUCUUUUUCUAGAAUGUUACCUUUUAUGUUGGUUUUUUUGAGUUAUUUGCAUAUUAUUGUCCCCAUCUCUAGUGUUUUAUUGCUUGUAGUCAAACCUACUAUUUAUUUAUUGUUGUUUUGCAUUGUAUGAUUAUUGGAUGCUAUGCGAUACAAAGAUAAUUGUUCAACAACCAUAUGCAUCAUGAAGAAAUUUCCGGAUACGAUUGAUAUUAGUACAUUAUUAACUUCUUAUCAAGAAAUAUCAAUGAAGUGUUUUAUAUGAAUAUUUUUAAUGCACCUUGAGUUUUUGGAUAACCUUUUUCAUAAAAGUUAAUUAGAUGCAUUCUUAACUAAAUAAGCCAUUUGGUAAUUUUUCAAAAAUGUUUAUUUAGGUAACAGAAAAUUUAUUUAUUUAUUCUGGAAAAAGUUUUUUUUUAACGAAGUUAGCAAGGAAAGCACCUACCUAUUCUUUAAUUGUUAUUUUAGAUCCGUUUAAUUCGCUCCCACGAGAAGUUGAAUAUAGACCUGCAGGAUGUUACUCAGGUGCUCUAACCACUAGACUAGAGUCCCUUUCGCUUCUGAAAAAGGUUUUACAAAAAUCUUUUCCCUAUUAUCUUUUGUUAAGUCUGGGAUGUUGCCGCACGUGGGAAAGAAAGAACGGGAAACAUAGACCGAGACCGCUGCUGCGCCGCCACCAUGCUUCGCCGUUGGAGGGUUAGGGUUCGGGGUUUCGGGUUAUGGGUCAUCGAUGGCGCGGCUAUCUCCGAUGUGGCUGGGAUAUAUGGGAGGUUGACGGUGGCUAGGUAGCAGGCGGUGGUGGCGGGUUGUGUGCGGGAUGGCGGGACACCACCAGUUCCGAUUUGUGGAAGACAAUAGGUGGCCUCUAGAGGCAGCGGGGGAAUCUUGGUGAGCUUCCCGCGCGGGGCUGGGUUAGGGCGGCGAAGGAUGGUGGCGGUGGAUGUGGCAGCGCGAGCCGCCGGAGAUGAUGGAGGAUGGCGGCGCGGGCGCGAGCAAAGGAGGACAGUGCGAUGGUGAUCGAGGGUUGCGACCGGCGACGCCGGAUGCAGUGGCGAGAGCCGUCGGAGCUAGAGGAGGAGGGCAGCGCGGGGGCAUGGGCGUGCGCGCUCCUGGGCUGCCAUCACUGAAGGUGACAUUGGUGAUUUUUGUCACCUUCUGUGAUAUAUAGAUAUAGACAUGCUCUAGAUAGAGGACUCCUUGGAGAGACCCCGAGAAUGGAGAUGGGCAUUUGGAGCUCUUCCAAAAUAAGGAAUCUAGAGGACUUGCUAGAAUGCAUUUUUUUUGACUUGGUCCAUUGGAGUUGUUCUAAGCCAACAACUAUUAGCAUCCUUUUAGAUAACUCUGUUAAUCUGAAAUACAACAGUUUCCUACUUUAUGUAUAAUGAGUGUCAUUGCGUCACUACGUACGAGGUCUACUUUAUGGCGGAUCUGAAGGUGUGUUUGGUUGGGAUGUGGCUUUUGGAAAAGCUACUGUGAGCUGUGGGCUGUGAAAAAGUAGCGGGGAGAAAGCAGCUGUGGGAAAAGCAGAAGACCGUUUGGUUAGAGCAGCUACGAAACUGUAGGUUGUGUAAGAAAUACCUGUAAUGCCCCUAAAGGUCUGCGGGUGUGUUUACAUGCAAAUUGCUCAUAACAAAAUAAUGUGUUCACUAAUUCACAUGUAAAUGACUAUUUUAGAAAGGAAAAAAAAUAAAUUUUAUAUGUUCUUCAUCCAUAUAAGUGAUUGGUCCACAUAAAUAGAACAAUAUCCAUCAAAAGGUUUAUACAAUGAUGUCAUCUCUCAACAUUACUGUCCUCCUCUCGCACUAACCAAAGCAUCAACUAUCCUAGCAUGAAUGAUAUUCAUGGUAUCCUCAUUCUCCAUAUCGUCACUCUCAUCUCCUUGUGUUUGUCUCGUGCCACUUGUAUAUUGUACCAAGUACUCCUACAAAACCGAGUUAGUAAGGUACAUAAUAAUACACGUAUUUCUAACUUGAUGAAGGAAUCAUGUAUACCUUUAGGAGGCACGAGAAAUAUGUCUCAAAGCAUUGUCGAGAAAAUUGAAAGAAAAGAUGAUGAACAAAGGAGGGUCAAUUCUUGUUGCUCUUUGGACUAGAGGAUUGACGAUGAUCAUUGCAGUCCUAACAAUUCUCUUGUUGCAGAACAGAGUAGCAACUUCUGAGUAGCAUAUGAUUCUUACAUCUUCCAGGCGAGGUGGCUAGUGUGCUGGAUGAAGUUGAGGUCCCUUGGCAACCUGGCAAACGCCUCCGUCAUGUCUGCAGGCAAAAUUUCCAAAAAAAACAAGAAGAUUUCAACACCACCAACAAAGCAAGCAUGUAAUCACCUGAUUAAUCAAUCAGCAAACAAUUCACAACUAGCAAUCUGUAGAAAUUAGCACGCCAUUACCGUCCUGGGUGAUGAGCGGGUAGUCGGAUGCGUUGAGGUUGACGAACCAGUCCCAGCGGCGGUGAAGGCGGAGCAGCAACGCGACGGCGUGCAGCGUGGUGGUGAGCAUGGUGGGGCCCCGGUAGGUGACGAGGUUGGGCCUGCCGACGAUCCACACGUUGCCCGCGAUCGCGUACACACCCCACCUGGACAUGAGCUCUGCCAGCCGGCAGUGCUCCUCCCCUGGACCGCAGGUAGUUGUUGGCCGGGUGGUACAGUGCCGCCAGCAGCCGCAUCGUGCGGCCCACUUCCCCUGAGGAUGCCGAGAUAAGGUAUGCGAACGAGAUCGGGUACCGCGGCGCCUCGCCGGCGGCACCGUCGAAGGCGGCCAACGAUGAGAGUGUUGACGUCGGUUUUUGACACGUGUCAGGGUCGACGUCAAGAGGAGAAGAAAGUGGCUGAUGCGGUUAAACAAGAAGCUAUGGCUAGAGAAAUCAGUCAGUAAAGCUAUAGUGUUUCAGCCGAUUAGCUAAUGAGAUAGAUGAAGACUGGCCGAUUGGAAGCUAGAAAAGCUCGGCCGAUAUGGGCCUAAAUGGGCCAAGGUGGUAACAAGAUGAAGAUAGGAUUGGCCCAUAGAGGAUUGGAUGGUGUUCGACUCCGAUACAAGUUGUAUCCGUAUGUAAAUAUUUGUUGCUUUGAAUAAGAAAUAGAAUAUUGAGUCAUAGUCGGUUAGGAAACGAGUUGUAACAGGGUAUAAAUAGGUGCCCCGUGAGGCUGGCAAAAACAUCAACAAACAUCAAUACAAAUCUACUUUUUCAUGCAACUUUACUUUCAUGUCGGCGACUUUGCCAAACCCUUUUCUUUUCACGAGUUCGUGUGAGUUGGCAGGGCUGCAUCAACGUGAUCUCCGAGCAAUUUGUAAGUUCCGCGUUUCGAGUAAUAUAUAAGCUUUAACUUUGGGCGUAUCGCUGUUGUUUUGUUUAGAUUUAUUCACUAGUUAUCGAUAUUUGCUAGAAUUAUAGGUUUUAUUCUCCGGUGGAAAGAUUGUGCCUUUGCCUGUAUUUCUCUUGCACUAAACUCAGGCGAUACCUAUUAUCGGCGGAAUGUGUGGUCGCGUGUAAAGUUGAUGUUGUCAAGUAUAUGUUAUCACUGCCGAUCUUGAAGGGAAGGAUUGGAAAAUGUAUUCUGGCACUCUCAGAAUUCGAUCUCAGGUACGAAUCGGCCAAGGCCGUCAAGGGUCAGGUAAGGCUGAUUUCGUCACCCAACACUGUGGAUCAGAAAUUACUGUCGUUGAGCCGGCUCCAUGGACUCUGUACUUCGAUGGAUAUUCGUGUGGGAUUGGAUCAGGAAUCGACAUAAUUCUUAUAUCGCCUCGGGGGGCAAGUUAUGAGUUCUCUCUGCCGAUUGAGGCUUCCGCUACUAAUAAUCAAGCAGAAAAUCGGGCUGUCUUAAAGGGCAUCCAAUUAUUGAGGGAGGUCAAGGCUGACGUGGUAGAAAUAUUUGGGGAUUCCAUGAUUAUCGUGGAUCAGUUGAUUGCAAAGUGUGAGUGCAAGGAUGAUAUUCUAAGGAUUUAUUAUGAGGAAUGCCUCCGGUUGCUCAAAGAAUUCAAGACCGUAACUAUUGAACAUAUCCCUAGGGAUUACAAUGAGGAAGCCAAUAGACUUGCCCAGCACGCUUCUGGCUACUGGCCGAUUCAUGGCGCUUUCGCUCUAGAGCUGGCGGCCGACAACUGGAGGAAGGAGAUCGCCGAUUAUUUAAAGGAUCCAUCCAAGAAAGUUGAUCGGCAGAUACGCUUCCAAGCCACAAAGUAUGUGUUACUUGAAGAUGAAUUGUUUUAUCGGACGAUUGAUGGAGUGUUUCUCAAGUGCCUUAGCAUUGAGGAAGCAAAGAUUUUGAUGGGUGAGAUUCAUGAAGGUCUAUGUGGGACCCAUCAAUCGGCUUUCAAGAUGAAGUCGAUGAUUAGAAACAAUGGGUAUUACUAGCUGACAGUACUUGAAGAUUGUUUCAAAUAUUAUAAAGGCUGUCAGGAUUGUCAAAAAUUUGGCAACGUGCAACGAGCCCCGGCCUCGGCUAUGAACCCGAUAUUAAAGCUGUGGCCAUUUAGAGGCUGGGUAAUUGAUCUCAUCGGUUAGAUCUAUCUGCCGUCAAGCAAAGGGCAUAAGUUCAUAUUGGUGGCGAUUGACUACUUCACCAAGUGGGUUGAGGCGGUUCCUUUGAAUGUUGUGAUGUCGGCCAACAUGAUCGAAUUCAUGAAGGAGCACAUCAUUUAUCGAUUUGGUAUUCCUCAGACCAUCAUGAUUGAUCAGGGGUCAAUGUUUACCUCAGGGAGUUCGAGGAGUUCACUGCCAGUAUGGGAUUAAGCUGUUGAAUUCUUCUCCGUAUUACGCUCAGGCCAAUGGUGUGACGACCCCGGUUAAAUCUUUCGAGUUAAUCUUAAUACGAGCCCCAAAAUUCCUCUGUCUCAGUUUUUCCCGAGCAGGAGUGCUCCACUCCAGUUCCUGUUCCUGACCCGUGAAGACUCUAACUCACCCCGCCAGUUCCUUUUAAGUCUCAACAACAGUGUCCCUUUCAAUCUUGAACAGAGGAAAGACCGAGACUGACGGAUGGACCCGCAAUCUUUUCCCCGGAUCUCCCGAGGCAUACGCACUCGAGCGGCCUGCACCGCUUCAGAGCUCCCCCGCCGCGUGGCUCAACUUCUCCGACGCCCGCCGCUUCACCCAAUCGCCGGCCGGGACAGGAUAGAUUCUCACGCCCUCCUCCCCAAUCGCAGCGGAAGCCCCUCUGCAACCCUUUCUGCUGCGCCUCGUCUCGCUCGCGCCCUCGCCGGCCGCGCCUUGGUGCUCCGACACCGCUGUGGCAGAGCUUUGCCGCUUGCUGCAUCCAAACUACCUCGCAGCUCACGCCCGUCAUCAUCUCACUGGAUCCCCGACUGCAAGGCCCGAUGCCUUCCGACUUUUCCACCGCCUCUACACAGUCGCGCUCGCCUGCGCAGCCGCAGCCUGCCUAUCUUUUCACCGGUUGCAACCUCGCUUGUAGCGCCGUUCUCCCUGUCACACCCAUCAGAUCCGCCGCAUGACGACGCCCGCCUCCGCCAAACCUCAACUACCGGCAAAACCGCGCCUGCGCCGCCUUGUCUCCCGUGCCCAAUAGCCAAGGACCCUAUCUCCGAAAUCCUGUUCCGCCGCCCAUCGACGCCCAGUCGCCGCCAUGGCAGCGCACUCCAUCCUUUUCUUCCGGUCUUCGUGCUACUCCAACUCCCUCUCUCUUUCGCGCAGCUAUAAAAAGGAAUGCCAGAGCCCUACUGGAGAUCCCUUCACCAUCGUUGCCUCGCCGCCUUGUUCCUGAGCGCCGCCACCUAAGUUCUUGAGGAACUCUCAUCUUCGCUCAACACCCGCCCCUCCCAAUCCACCAAGCCGCCUGCUCCUCCACGCUAUGCUAGAGCUUCCUUGUUGCUCACAAGAAGCUCCGCCGCCGCCGGAGCACCGCCGGACAUAGCCGCCACCAAAGCCUUAGUGCUUAAGACCUUCCGCCCAAGUCUACUCCUUCCCGACCCCAAAGCUUCACCUAUAAACCAAAGGUAAGCUGCCGACCCCUUACCGGUUCGCCCGACCCUACCUGUUCGCCUGACCCUACCUGUUCGCCCGACCCCUCUUUCCAUCUCGCCCGACCCUGUCUGUUAGCCGGCCCUUAUCUUCUUCGCCCGAGGACUCGGCUGUACUCUUUUCCUUGACCCGAGGGUAUCUGUGUAAGAUUUCGGGGACUUCUCUGUAAUAGCUUUGAGGACCCCAAACACAUUAAGGCUUAUGGGUCAGAUCAUAAGUUCUUCCAAUUCGACCCUUGGUCUUGUUCUCUAUCCACUGAAGCUUGAACCCCCACACUCUUUCCGUAGCUUUGCUACAAGUUUCUGGGCUAAGACUUGCGAGUGUUGCUGUUGAAAUAACCGUCUAGACACUAACUCCAGCAUUGCAUUCGUGUAGAGUUUCAUCUUGCUGACGGCGUCUACGAACUACACCCGGUGCCAGAAGACGGAGCUGUAGCUGAGCUACCAGUUCCAGAAGCCGAAGUCGCACCAGCUGAAGACCCGCUUCCCUCCCCUCCACUUGAAGGCAAGUCCCGGAGCAUGAACCCCAAAGUUUCCCAAACUUGCGCAUGCCUUCUUUCUCAUGUUUGUGCAUUUACGUAUAGGAGUUGUUUGCAACCUUAGAUGCAUGGUAUAGUUCCUUGAUCGGAACACUAGUUGUUGAAUCGAGUAGUUGCUAUGCUUAAAUAGGAAGUGGUAAAAGUCGAGUGAUUUCCUGUCACUCGCGAGUUAUAGGAGUUGGUUGUUCUCCUUCUGUUACAACUAUAAGGACGAUGGAUGGGGCAAGGUUUUGGUUAACUCUUUUGCUAGUCGGCUGAUCCCCCCGUCUGUCUAUGGAAUCUGUUAAGGCCCGAUAGUGGUGGUGUUCGUGAUCAAGUGUUUGAAAGUACUAAUCUCAUACCUAGUAUGGGAUGGGGAAGCCUAGUACCUGAUUGAACUAGGGCGUGGCUUAUACCCCUGCUGUCCCUGGAACGAGGUUCCCAUGGUGCAUCAUGUGGGUGCAAGUGCGGUCACAGUACGGUAGAGGCCGGGAUUGUGGAGCAUUGCAUGCCAAGGGAAGUUGGACCUGACACGUGCCUGGGAAUUGAUGGGGACGGCUGACACAGGAAGCGACCCUUGUGGUGCGCGGAUGUCGUGAGAUUAGGUUUGCCAUGCAUGGUUAAGAAACUCGAAGGAUUCGUCUGCCUCUCACAGUUUGAGACUGCUUGAUCGCUAUGCUACACUGAUUAAUGAAAGAGUCUGAUGAUGACAUGGUCUUGAUGAGUAGCUUAUAUACAUAAAGUUGGAUCUAUGUUUGCUUAGAGUAAGAUGCCAACGUAGACUGGUUAAUGAACUUAGAAUUUGAGCUAAAACUUGAAAGCAAGGACCUAACGUAGUAGCUUUUGGCAAACAAAACCCCUCAGCCAAAGAGCCUUGCAUGUCUAGACGUGGUGGAGUAGUUUUACCACCGGUCGGUUAAGUCUUGCUGAGCGUAGCAGCUCAACCUUGUUUGUGGCUUUCUUUUCAGGUGAAGUCGCAGCUCCUGAGUUUGCUUCCGUUGGCACUUGGCCGCCCCAGCUCCCUCCGGGUUGGACGGUUGAGUGGGAUCCUUCCUCGGACGGUGAGGAGAGGGAUCAUUGAUGUCCUGAUCGGCCUCAUUAGGGACAUCCGACCCUGGCGCUAGCUUCCGCUAAUUUAGCUUUCCGCUGCUUUUGAAUCUUGUAAAACUCUGAUUUUUGUUUUUAUGUUGAACUAAAUUGUCAAACUUGUUUAACUCAGUGGAUCUGUUGUAUUCUCUGAAACCGCUCACCUUCGUGUGAGUUUCGCUAAUCCGGUCCUGUAAGUGGUUUAAUCGGAGGAAAUCCGACGGCCCUUCGAGUUAACUUGACUAAGGCAUAAGUGUCGCGUGUCAGGCGACUUAACAAUGCUUUAAUCAAGGUAAUCCGAGGUGGUUCCACCACAAAUGGUCAGGCCAAGUCAUCAAAUAAGGGGGUUAUUAAACUGAUUAAAAGGAAGGUCAAAAAACAACCAAGACGGUGGCAUACAACGCCGAAUGAGUCCUUAUGGGCUUAUCGGAUGGCUUGCCGCGGUGCCACCAAGGUGUCCCCUUAUCAGUUAGUAUAUGUGCAUGAAGCAGUAUUACCUUGGGAGUUGAAGACUGGGUCUAGACGUGUGUCACUUCAGAAUCAGUUGUCGGUUGAUGACUAUUCCGCCCUCAUGAGGGGAGAAUUGGAAGAUUUGGCGAAUCAACAGCUAAGGGCUUUGAUCAGCAUUGAGGAAAAUAAGAAAAGAGUCACCAGGUGGUAUGACAAGAAGGUCAAGGUCAAAAGGUUUUCCCAAGGGGAUUUAGUCUGGAAGUUGGUUCUGCUGAUAGUAUGGAAAAUGGUCGCCCACUUGGGAAAGGCCAUAACGGAUUAGCCAAUGUGCUCUAGGCAAUGCAUACAUACUGGAGACUUUUGAGGAAGAAGAAUUUACAAGGGCCUUGAAUGGAAGAUAUUUGAAAAGAUACUACCCUAGUAUAUGUGUAGGCGCUUAGCCGAUGAUGUGGCAUAACGGGCUUUCACGGUCGACGCGUACUGAUUCGUGUUCAUAUAGCCGAUGCAAGGGGCAUCGCCUUAAGAUUGAAAGAGGCGAAAUAGUGUAUAUAUAACUAAACCGAUCAUUAUUCGGUACACCAACUAAAUAUAUGGCCGGCAUGAUACAAGUCGCCCUUAGAUAAAAAGUACCGACACAGUUAUGGGUUACAACGAUUUAACAACGUUUCAUGUGAGCUUUAUUCAUAUCGAUUUCUUUCUGAAGUCGAUCCAAUUCGAUCUGGAGUCGGGCGUUCUUCUCCUCUAGUUCUGCCAUGUCAUCUUCAACAGCAACUUGACAGGGUAACAGAUGGCUUCUUUCGACUGAUUGCCGUGGUUGCCUUCUAGAAGCUUUAGCCUCGAUGUCAUCCACAAUCCUCUUGAUAUUCACGGGGAGGUGAUCUCUGAGUUCCUCACGAUGAGUUUGGAUCAGGUCUUUGUCAGCCUGAGUGAGCGGUUCAUCGGAGUGGAGGAUCUCAAUGGCUCGUUCAAGAUCACGGCUGAGUCGGUUUGGCUACGAGAAGAAUUGAUGAUCAAUUGACAGAGGGAUUGGUCGAGAGAUAGGAGAUUGACUUCGUACCUGAUUGACAGAGGAGGAGGAGGCCAUCUUGGUCGCUCGAUCGAAGAUUUGUAAGCGCGCGCAAGGAAUGGUUGAGUGGGUGUUUUGCGAAUGCCUUCAGAAGGGAUGCGAAGGGUUUGUACUUAUAGAACAGAAUGGCAAUGGACAAAGGUCGGUAAAAGGAGGGCAUUUAAAGAAAGCGACCGUUGAGUCAUAAAAGCUACGUGAGGACUGUUCAGACUUGCAUUUCAGACAAAAACGCCAAAAGUAUCAACGUUACACAAGAUGUUCAAAGGCUGGUUGAGUUCGUUACAACUAUCCGAGGAGAUUGUUUAUGGUCUCAAUCGCUCGCAGGCGAACUUGGUUGGCCACCUCCAACACUCGCCGAUCAUCAUCGGCUGAUCCUAAGACUUCUGGCGCAUUGCGAUGAAGAUGGAUGGCCUCGUGAGUGAGGGAUUGUCUUUCUUGUUUAAAAUCAACGAUGGCGGUUGGAAGAUCUUCAAGUUUCUUUUCUUCGGUAGCGAUAGCCUUUACGACCAGUUCCAUCUCCUUGGUGAGCUCUGCUCUGCGCCAUUUGAGUUGGUCUAUUUCACUGAUGAUGCUUGGAUGAGAAGUCUCAUGGAGACCGAUCUACCGAUGUACGUGUUGUGCACGGUGCUUGUAGGACUCUUCUUCUUGACGCACCAUCUCCAAUUUAGCACGGUCAGCCAUGUGUCGCAAGGCUCUAAACACCGGGACCCGCAUGGUUUCGAUAUAUGCUGCGGGUGUGAGAACCUCUUCUGCGUCUUCUGGGACUUGGCCUUUGAUCUCGUUGAAAAUCCACCGUAUCAGUUUGGCAUCUUCCACCAAUCGACCGAUGUUUUCCUGAAGAAGGGUUCGCAUGUUUUGGAGCUUGGCACGGACAUCUUCUGGUAUUGAGCUCAGAGUUAUUUGGCGUGAUGCAACUUCUUCGUCAUCAGAGACCGCAAUUGCAGAGGAGAAGAGGCUUUUGUUUGGCGUGUCUUACUCCUGCAGGGAUGUGGGAAAGUGUUUUAGCCGAUAAAAGUAAAAAAUCGGCUGGUAGAUAUAGAAGGUUCUUACCUCCUUCAAACAAAUCUCUUCUGCUUGGGUUGGCAGAGUCGUUACUCCCACCUCAGAAGUUUGCGGAGGUAGCUCAUUAGAGGGGGAAGACUUGACAAUGAUCGGCUCUCUAGGCGUAGCUGAUAAUGUGCUUGGACCAGCCUCCUGGAAAAGGAACAAAGGAAUCAUUUUUGAGUAUAAAAUAAUACUGGAUCUAAGUAGAAGUCUCGGUUUUCUUACCUCUCGGACGCGCGCAGCCAACGGUAGCACCAGGGGAAUGACUGACGUAUCUGGAGCGUCCUGUGUCAAGAAUCGUCUGAUUUUAGUUAUCAGAACUGUGGAGACUAAGGGAAGAGCAUGUUCUUUACCUCAAUUUGAAGAUUUGUAGGUAACACAAUUUUAGCUUGAGAAUCGGCCAAUUAAGGAACAGUCUGCUCUAGGAUAGGUUGUACGGCCUGUUGAAAAGAAACAAAUUUAGUAUUGGUGAUACAUAUGAAGAAGUCAGAGCAGAAAGAUUACUCGUGUAGCUUUCACCAAGAGUAACACAAUCGCCGACCCAGCCUCUGAUGCUGCUAGGGGAUCAAUGUCCUGAAUUGCCGACAAUACAUCUGCUUGGAUUGGUGCGGCUGAGGGCUCGACCGAUGUUGCUGCCGAUUGGUGGGUUGUUCGAGUUGUCGUAGAUUCAGUACGAGCUCAUACCCUGCGACUCGUCUUCUUUGUGGUGGAUAUUUUGAGCUUAUGCUUCAAUCGGUUGGUGGCUAUGUCCUCCAUUGAUGGGGCGUGAUAGCCGAUGAGAGGGUACGGUGUGUACGGAUGAUGGGUCUGUAUCAGUCUGCCACUCUAACUGUGCGUUGGAGGCACUUGGCUAUCAACCUGUGCAGGGUAAAAGGAUAAUGAUAAGAAAGUUCUGCAACAUGUGAAAAUUAUUGGUAAGGAAUCGACAAAAAAGUAUUGUUACCUCUGCAUUCGGAUCAGUGUGAGCGGGGUCCAGUUGAUUGCAAUACACUGCAGGGGCCGCACAGGAAAGGUACUGUUUCCACUCGGCCCACCACAAUUUGAAUUGUUGAGUGGAGAAGGGGACCACCAGCCAAGCGCUCAGAUCGAUGGUGUCGGAAUCCGGUGUCAGAUUACACAAUCUGUUGUAUUCCAGUCCUUUUGAAAUCGGUUCUCAAAAUUUCACUCGGCCGACGAAGUGAAUCCGAUUGGUAUUUGUCCCAAGCCAAAUUGCCGAGCUGCUACCGACGGGUUAUAGAACUCAUAUGUUGGAGAGUCCUUGCCAGAGAAGAAAUUUGCCGGUAGAAUCCCAGGUUGAUCAGGGUGUCCAUGAUUCCUUCAUCGAAGGUAUCGGUAGCCUAGUCAAAACAGUCAGGAUUCUAAAAAGUUGGGUUCUCUCUCUGAUAUGGAUACCAAUUCGUCACCUCUUCUUUAAAGCUGUUGUAAAAGCAUCUAAAGUGCUCGGCUAUUCUUGAGGGGGCAAGCUUGCCGCCUGGGAAAGUGGAUACGGCUUCACUAAAGGAAGUACAGCGGCGUCUGGCCAAUGGGUCGGUUUCUGAUUUAACAUUAGGAAAGUCUUGGUCUCAAUCCGCUCCUUGAAGAUUUCGCUCAUAUAUAAGUUGAGCUAGAGAUUGACAAACCACCAAGGACCACCAGGAUUCCUGAUAGGUUCUCCAGAUGAUAGCUUCACGCCGAUGUGAUGCAGCAUGUAAUACACUGACCCUAGUAGAUGCUUUCCCAAAGGGACUGUGGCUCCUCUAACUAGUGCUUCGGCCAAAGCCUGUGUGUUGGAAGUAGGACUGGCUAAUUUACCACAGAAGACAUACCUUUCCUGCCACAUCAUCAAGAAGGUCGUGUGCUCUUUUUCUGUGUUGGGUCCGGUCCUCAUGUUCUUCUCAAUGUAGCCUUUCCAUGUGCUGAUGGCUUUCGUCUCCAGCCGAUGGGUGGGUUUGAUUAAGAAAUCGAAAGGUGAGUCGGUGGAGGAAACAUCGAGGCCAGUCAGCAUCAGAACAUCGGCCAGGGUUGGAGUCAUUGGCCCAUGGUCGAAAAGAAAUGCAUUGAGAGCAUCGGACCAAAAGUAAGAUGCCGCGAUGAGCAGAGAUUCUUUCUUUUCCAUAUGAGAUAGAGAUAAAUUUCUGCAAUGGCCGAUUUUUCGCUCAUCCCAGAAGACUCUGUUGGAAUUUGACAUUCUAAAAAACCAAUCUCUCCAUCCGGGGGUUUGAUUCGGCCAAGACUUGAAAGUGUUCGCCCAAUUGUCUAGUUCCAUGGUCGAUUGCUUAAAAGGGAUCCUGUGAGUUUCUAGUUUAAUCAGAUCGGUUGGGUUAGGAUCUCCCAUAGAGCCAAGAUCGAUGAAUCCAGGGGUGUUGGCCAUGGGAUGGUGAUUCUUUGCCUGAGUUCUUGAGCAAAUGCGAAGAAAGACUAAGAACAGAUCUAAAAUCGCGAAAAGAUGAGGAGAGCCUAGAAGACUUACCUCAGGAACGAAGGUCAUGGUAGCUAUGGGUGCCACCAUUGGAGCUUGGGAGUUGGUGCGGUCGGUGAAGGACGUGAGCAAGUCACUGGAGUGCGCUGGGAUGUGCCUAGAAGUGGCACGAGCAAGGUCGCUGGGGUGUGCCGGGAGAUGAUUCGCUGGAAAGGAAACCCUUUUCGCCCGGAGGAAGAUGAAGCGGCGGAAGAGAUGAGUAUCUGCACGAUGACUCGGGAGAAGGGUAAAUAUGAAAUUUUUACCACGCCGUCUGCGCUAAUUUCGAAAGGAGCGGUUGCCUACAGGUGCUCAGUUCGAAAAAAUGCAAUCAUCAAGGAGAAGAUUUCGGGAGCAAAGAGGGUUUUGCUGCAUUUAUUGUUGCGUCUUUUCUGAAAGAAGGAAUCAGAGUUGAGAAAAUUUCGGAGAAAAAGAUAUGUUUCACUAUGAAGCUGGGAGGCAUGUGUUGAUGCCAGUUUUUAACACGUGUCAGGGUCGGUGUCAAGAGGAGAAGAAAGUGGCCAAUGCGGUUAAACAAGAGGCCAUGGCUAGAGAAAUCGGUCAGUAAAGCUAUAGUGUUCUGACCGAUUAGCUGAUGAGAUAGAUGAAGACUCACCGAUUGGAAGCCAGAACGCUGGAUUUUGACACGUACUUGAAAUCGGUGUCAAAGAAGGAGAAAGGGGGGCCGAUGCGGCGGACUAGAAGCUACAGUUGGGAAUCGGCCGAUUGAAGCUACAAUGUUUCAGCCGAUUGGCGGAAGAAAUUGGUGGAGGCUGGCCGAUUGGGAGUCAAAGCAGUUUGGCCGGUUUGGGCCUAAGGUGGGCCAGGAUGAAUAUUUGCUGAAGAGACAGGCCCGUGGGAAAAUAAUAACCAACUCGAAUACGAGUCGUGUUUGUAACUAUUUGUUGUCGUUUGAAAUUAGAGAUAGAUUCUAGUCGGUUAGGAAAUCAGUUCCAACACGCUAUAACUAGCUACCUCGAGAGGCUUGUAAAAAAAACAACACAUCAAUCAAUACAAAAAAAAUUACUCUUUCCUCGUACUUUACUUUCAAGUCGGCGACUUCGCCAAAACCUUUUUCUUUCACGAGUUCGUACGGAUUGGCAGGGCUGGAUCUACAGGAUCUCCGGCCGAUUCUGUAAGUUCCACUUAUCGAGUAAUACUAAGCUUUAACUUCGGGCGCAUCGCUGUUAUUUUGUUUAGAUUUAUUCACCAGUUAUCGAUAUCAACUAGAGUCAUAGGUUUUACCUGUUAUUUUAGUUUUUAUCACCAAUUAUCCAUCUUGAGGUACGAACUGUCGGUUUUUAUUAUUCUUAUCCUUUAUCAUCACAUAGCCGAUUAGAUCUACUCCAAGUUUUGCUUCUGUAGUGUUGUUUAGGUUGCUGUAAAAGUUUUCCUUAUGAUUGCUACAUGAGUAUCGGCUGUCUUAUAGCCGGUCAUCUCUACGGUAAAUCGGCCGAUUCGCUGAUACGCUCUUCAAGACAGAUCGGAACUCUAGCCGAUCGAAACCCCUAGAAUUUAAUAUUCUUCUUUCCAUGUCAAUCAUUAGGUCAGAUUGACUGGCAUGCCGCGCGAACCGCACUAGGGCAAUAACUCGAACAGGAGCUAAGUAGAUUCUCCUGGGUCGUGUGUCCGACGCUGAGGGUCAUCGGCCAAUUUUCAGCACCAACACACUUUUGGCAUGCCCGGUGGGACCAAACAAGAUCCAACAUGUCGAAGGCUGCUGAGAUCUUUGAAGAUAACGUCCUUGAAGUCAUUGAAGAAAAUCUCAAGGACGAUCAGAAGGAGGAACUGGCGAGGGCUAUAGAAGAAUACAGGAAGACAUGCCUGCAAUCUUUCAUUCGUACCAGAAGCGGGGAGACAGUCAAGAAAGCUCCUCUCUCCACUUCCCGCCAAAUCACCGUCAUCGAGGACUCAGGGAAGAUGUCUGAGAUGAUUCAACAGUCCGUUUAUCAGGCUAUGAUUGACCAAUCCACGGUGAUGACCAACACUGUAUACAACGCCAUCAUCAGCUCCUUGGUUAGCGGCGUAGCUCAGGGGUAUCAGGGACUAGCGUAUGCUCCUCCCAUCGUGGCACCGAUCAGAGGCUUCUUAGCAGCGCCAAACGUGUGUCACUCGACUCCUCAACUAAUGCAGAUGCAACGUGGAGGGUACUACACUUCAAUGCCCCUGGGGUACAAUGGUGCAUCAUUCUAUCAAUCGCAAGAACCGUCUCAUCCUAUGCCAAUUUCAUCCAUACAAUCGCCGCUCUCAAACUCGGCGCCAUGGGGGGUAGCAGCAGCAACCGCCGGUCUGGAUCCGUCAACCAGUUAUGGAAAGUCUCCAGUCCAGGCGUUAUUCCAAUCGGCCGAGGCCGAUAGCCCCGCAAUACCAAACAACCACUUCAGAUAUCGGCAGGAGGACAGGCGCUCUAGAAACACUCAGGGUUGCGGCGUCGAUAAUAUUGUACGAUGAAGUGACAGAUACACUAUGUCAGCAGCCAUCGGCUACUCAGCCGACAACCCAGCCACAAUAUCUGCAGAACACUCCAGUUUAUCACCCGAUCAUGGAACCGCAAAUCCAACAGCACGUACCGAUUCCUCAGCCGGUCGUGCAUCAGCAGCAGGUUGAUUGGACCGCGAAGAUAGCAGAGGUAAUUCAAGAUCAGUUUGUGUUAAAAGCAAAAGUACAAACUUACAUGUACAAGACGCCAUACCCACUUGCCUACGAUCUGUUACCGUUCCCUCAUCGGUACAAAGUCCUUGACUUCACCAAGUUCUCGGGCCUAGACGACACGUUGACUGUCGAGCACGUUAAUAGGUUCAUCAUCCAGUGCAGGGAGGCUGCUACGCAAGAUGCUUUGAUGGUGCGCUUGUUCUCGUCAUCCCUAUCCGGAUCAGCCUUGCAGUGGUUCACUACACUGCCGCCCAACGCCAUCGUUACCUUGGCCGAUUUGGAAAAGCAAUUCCAUAAGUACUUCUAUGCGGGAAUCCACGAGAUGAAACUCUCAGACCUAACUAGCCUCAAGCAAAGAAGCGAUGAGUCGAUGGCCAGCUACAUACAGAGGUUUAGGAAAGUUAGGAACAAGUGCUACACCUUGGUCUGGACUGACACCCAACUAGCCGAUAUCACCUUCCAAGGACUCCUGCCACACAUCAAAGAGAAGUACGCCUCCCAGGAGUUCGAAAGCUUGAGCCAAAUCGUCCAUCGGCUGUCCGGCCAAGAGAUACACCCUUUCGACCAACGAAGGAACUUUCAAAAGAAGGUAGCUUAUGUGGAAGGGUCUGAAUCGGGAGAGAAGGCGGAAAUCGGCCUAGCAGAGUCGGUAAAAGGAAAAAAGCCGAUAUCAUGCCCGUUUGGAAAAAAGGAACCAGAAACAUUCGGCUUUGACACGUCAAAAGCCGACAAAGUCUUCGACUUGCUGCUUCAAGAGGGGCAGAUCAAACUUUCGCCUUACCACACCAUUCCGUCGGCCAAGCAGCUCAAAAAGAUGAAAUACUGCAAAUGGCACAAUACCACAUCCCAAGACAAAAAUGAGUGCAAGAUCUUCCGACAAUAGAUACAAUUAGCCAUUGAGCAAGGAAGACUCAAGUUCGAGGUUCCAGCAAAACCAGUGAAGCCGAUGAAGAUUGAUCAACAUCCCUUCCCCGCCAACAUGGUCAAUGUAGGAAGAAACGCACUCCAAACCAAAGUUUUGAUGUUAGAAUUGGCCAGGAGAAGCGGUGCAGUGGAUCCCAAAAAUCAGGCCACGAUCGGAGAUGUCAAAGGAAAAGGACGGAUGGAAGAAGAAGGUGAAGGAUCAGAAAGGCCACGUCGGCCUGUCACUUCCCAAGACUUACUCAGCAAGUAUCAGCAGCAGCGGGAAGAUUCAAGACGCCACGAAGAGAUGAUGCGCCGACACGAAGAUCACUGGAGGUGCCCGUUUUUCAUCCACUGCUGGGAGAAUAACCUUAGAUUACCGUCGGCUGAUAAUUGCCCUGAGUGCAACGGCCAGUAUCGCAGUGGUCGUCCGUUCAAUAGAUCACGCUCCAAGGAUCGAGGGCUAGAGCCAAUCAGCAGAAAGAGGCACGAGCAAGGAGAUCGGCGCGUUUCAGUGCGUGAUCGGCUGGGGGGUAGAGUUGACCAGCAUAAUCGGCUGGGGGGCAGAACCAGCGCACAUGAUCGGCUGGGGGGUAGAACCAGCGCACAUGAUCGGCUGGAAGAGAUAGCUGACGCCAAAGUCUCAGAUGAGAACCUCCUAGGGUGAGAAUCAGGCUGGGAGCGUGCAAAGCCGCCGAGUAAACCAGUAAACCCCAGAUGGUGCCCAGCCGGUUUGACUAAGUCCUUGAAACGGAGGGUCCAGCGUUUGCACCAAUGGGAGCAGCAAGAAGAAAAACAAAGGUAGGUGAUGGAUAACAAAGGGGACAGGUCUCGAGUAUGGCGUCCUAGAAGAAAAUCCGACGCAGGAGACUAAAAUCAUGAUUCGACAGCUGACUUCAGCAUGAUGUUCAUCUUGCCGAUGGAGUUCAUGCCUCCCGCCGACCGGGACAAUGCGAUAGAGAUAGAGGAGCAAAUGGCACAAUUGGCUCUGGAGCCAAUGACCGCCACUUUUGAGAAACCCGAGGAUUAAAAACGCCAACAUCUCAAGGCCCUGUUCCUCAAAGGACAUGUCAACGGACGACCAGUCACCAAGCUGUUGGUAGAUGGAGGCGCUGCUGUGAACAUCAUGCCCUAUGCUAUGUUCCGCAAAUUGGGCAAAGGUAAAGAAGAUCUAACAAAGACGGAUAUAAUGCUCAAGGAUUUCGAAGGCAACGUAUCUCCGGCCCGAGGGGCACUCUGCGUCGACCUCACCAUCGGGAGUAAGGCCCUACCCACUAUUUUCUUUGUUAUUAAUGGCAAAGGCUCCUACAACAUGUUGCUCGAGCGAGAUUGGAUCCACGCAAACUGCUGCAUCCUGUCUACGAUGCACCAAUGCCUUGUCCAAUGUGUCGGCGACAACAUCGAAGUAGUCAUCGCCGAUUCCACCUAUAGCGUUGCCACGGCCGACGCACAACAGUGGAGCUACGAUCACGUCAAAUUCAAAUAUGGUAGGGUUUGGGACACCAAUUUCCUAAAGGUGUCCGAUUUCGGUCUACAGCCAAUCCAAGCAGUCAGCUCUAAAGAAUCAAGUUAAAAUGGAUCAGUUCAUCUGAGAAGAUGGGAAGCUCGGGCACGGGUUUACGUCGGCCGAUUCAUUGGAGAUGGUGGACCUUGGAGAUGGCAACAAGCCAAAGCCGACGUAUAUUCGUGCUAGGUUAGAACCCGAGUAUAAGCAUGAAUUAAUGAGUCUUUUACGAGAAUUUAAAGAUUGCUUUGCUUGGGAGUAUCAUGAGAUGCCUGGUCUAGACCGGUCCAUCGUCGAACACCGGUUGCCUAUAAAACCAGGGCAUUGGCCGCAUCAGCAACCUGCACGACGUUGUAAUCCUAAAAUUUUACCUGAUAUAAAGGCCGAGAUUACAAGAUUAAUUGAAGCAGGGUUUAUUCGGCAAUGUCGCUAUGCCGAGUGGAUUUCCAAUAUUGUGCCCGUAUACAAGAAAAAUGGAAAGUUACGUGUGUGCAUUGACUUCAGGAAUGUUAAUCAGGCUAUGUCGAUGGAUGGAUAUCCGAUGCCGAUGGCUGAUGUUUUAAUAGACGCCACCGCAGGACACAAAGUCAUCACCUUCAUGGAUGGUAAUGCUGGGUACAAUCAGAUAUUAAUAGUCGAAUAAGAUAUUUCAAAGACGGCUUUCAGAUGCCCAGGCCACCUCGGUUUGUUCGAGUGGGUAGUAAUGAGUUUCGGUUUAAAAAAUGCUGGAGCUACGUACCAACGGGCUAUGAAUUAUAUAUUCCACAAGCUUAUUUGUGUCCUGGUGGAGAUCUACAUUGACGAUGUCGUGGUCAAAUCAAAAGGGUAUCAGGAACACCUGGCCGAUUUGCGAAAAGUGUUGGAAUGCACAAGAAAGCAUGGGUUGAAGAUGAAUCCAAACAAAGUGUGCCUUCGGCGUUUCGGCUGGACAGUUUCUGGGAUUCAUGAUUCACGAGCGAGGCAUCGAGAUCAAGCGAAAAAUUAUAGUUGCUAUCAACAAAGUCGUGGGCCCCCAGAAUAAGACUGAGCUACAGUACUUAAUCAGCAAGGUUAACUUCAUCCGACGGUUCAUAUCUAACUUGUUCGGGCGUAUUCAAGCUUUCACCCCUUUGUUGAAAUUAAAACCCGAUCAAGAAUUUGUAUAGGGUAAGGAAUAGCAGAAAACAUUAGAUGGCAUCAAACAAUACCUAGUCUCGCCACCAGUAUUGGUUCCGCCGCAGGCCAACAAGCCAUUCAAAUUAUACCUAUUGGCUGAUGAACGAGCUAUUGGGUUGGCGCUGGUCCAGGAAUGUGAAGGAAAAUAAAGAGUAAUCUAUUAUGUCAACAGAAGACUCCUGAACGUUGAAACUAGAUAUCCUCCGGUGGAACGGCUGUGCCUUUGUCUAUAUUUUUCAUGCACCAAACUCAGGCACUAUCUGUUAUCGGCAGAGUGCAUAGUCGUUUGCAAAGAUGAUGUGGUCAAGUACAUGUUGUCAUUGCCGAUUUUGAAAGGGAGGAUUGGAAAGUGGAUUCUAGCUCUCUCAGAGUUCGACCUGAGGUACGAAUCGGCCAAAGCUGUCAAGGGGCAAGUAAUGGCCGAUUUCGUGAUCCAGCACUGUGGACCAGAAAUUACUGUCGAACCAGCUCCGUGGACACUAUACUUUGAUGGGUCUGCGUGUGGGGCCGGAUCGGGAAUCGGCAUCAUCCUCAUAUCGUCUCGAGGGGCAAGUUAUGAUUUCUCUCUGCCGUUUGAGGCGUCCGCUACUAAUAAUCAAGCGGAGUAUCGGGUUGUUCUAAAAGGUAUCCAAUUAUUAAGAGAGGUCAAAGCUGACGUGAUGGAAAUUUUUGAGGAUUCCAUGCUCAUUGUAGAUCAAUUAACUGGAAAGUCUGAAUGCAAGGAUGAUAUCUUGAGGAUUUACUACGAAGAUUGCCUCAAGUUAUUGAAGGAGUUCAAGUCUUUGAUUAUUGAGCAUAUUCCCAGGAAUUACAACGAAGAAGCCAAUAGACUUGCCCAACAUCCUUCCGGGUAUCGGCUGUGUUGACGCCAGAUUUUGACACGAGUAAAAUCGGCGUUAGAAGUGGAAGAAAUUAGGAGAUGCGGCGAGAUACAAGGGCAACGAUUGGAAAUCGGCCGAUUGGUGCUACAGUCAAGGAUCGGUUGGUUGGUGCUGCAGUCAAGGAUCGGCCAAUAGAUGCUACAGACGAGGAUCGGCCGAUUGAUCCUUAGAGUUCCGCCUCGCACGACCCCUGGUUUGGGAUCGGACACGCCCGACCCUCCAAGGGAGGAUCUCCGCCUCGCCCGACCCCUGGUUUGGGAUCGGACGCGCCCGACCCUCCAAGGGAGGAUCUCCGCCUCGCCCGACCCCUGAGGUUUGGGAUCGAACGCGCCCGACCCUCCAAAGGAGGAUCUCCGCCUCGUCCGACCUUAGUUCCCAGGGUCGAAAUGAGUCUGAGCCCUCGAUAUGUGGGUCCUGAUCGGUUACCCCCCUUGCCAAAGAGGUGAUCGGCCGAUUAGGAGGUUGGAAUAGUUGGGCCGAUGUGGGCUCAAGAAGGAUUAUGAAGAUGAAGAGGGGGUCAGCCCAUGAAGCGCGUGAAAAUAGUACGAAUCGUACUUGUAAAUAUUCGUUUUCUGUUUAAAUUUAGGGAUAGAGUUCUAGUCGGAUAAGAAGUCGUUUGUACGGGGCUAUAAAUAGCCACCGUUGUAGAUCUGUAAUCAUCAUCAACUCAAUACAACAAACUACUAUUUCCUCGUACUUACUUUCAAGCAGGCGACUUUACCAACACUUUUUCUCCUUUUUCACGAGUUCGUACGGGUUGGCGGGGCUGCAUCAACUUGACCUCCGGCCGAUCUUGUAAGUUCCGUUUAUCGACUAAAUUCUAAGCUUUAACUUCGGGCGCAUCGCUGUCAUUUCGUUUAGAUUUAUUCAUCAGUUAUCGAUAUUUACUAGAAUUCUAGGUUUUACCUGUUGUUCUAGUUUUAUCACCAAUUAUCCAGCUAGGAAUCGGUAAAUUCGGCUUUCUUUAUACUUCUCUGUCUAAUCUAUUUAUUUUAGCCGAUUAGAUCUGUUCCUAGUGUUGCUACUGUAGCGUUGUUUAGAUUACUCUAGCAGUUUUCUUUAUAAACGUUACCUGGUAAUCGGUUGCACUAUAGCCGAUUUCCUUAUUACGGCAAAUCGGCCGAUUCGCUGAUAAGCUUUCUUGAGAUCGGAACCUUAGCUGAUCGCAACCUCUGGGAACUGACACGUUUAUUUCCUUGCCAAUCAACAGUUCAGAUUGGCUGGCUCGCCGCGCGAACCGUACCAGGGCAAUCACCCGAACAGGAGUUAAGCAGAUUCUCCCGGGUCGUGUGUCCGACGCUGGGAAUUCGGUCAGCUGAUUUCUAGUGCCAACACACUUUUGGCACGCCUAGUGGGGCCAAUACAACCGCCACCAUGUCGAAAGCUGCUGAAGUCUCCGAAGAUAACAUCAUCGAAGUGACAGAGGCAGAUCUCAGGGACGACCAGAAGGAAGAACUAGAGAGGCAGACAGCAUACUACCGGAAGACAUGUCUGCAGUCCUUCAGUCGCACCAGGAGCGAGGAGACUAUCAAAAAGGCUCCGUUUCCAACUCCCCGCCAGAUCACAAUCACCGAGGAUUCGGACAAGAUGUCCGAGAUGGUCCAGCAAUCCGUCUAUCAAGCUUUCAUUGAUCAAUCCCCGGUGCUUUCUAAUACGGUAUACAAUGCCGUCAUCAGCUCCUUGGCUAGUGGUGUAUCUCAAGGGUACCAGGGGCCGGCAUAUGUUCCGCUGAUUAUGGCUCCGAGCAAUGCGGCGACAUGAAGAUCACUGGCGAUGCCCGUUCUUCAUCCACUGUUGGGAAAGCAACCUUAGGUUGCCUUCGGCCGAUAAUUGCCCCGAGUGCAACGGCCCGUAUCGUAACAAUCGGCCGUUCAGCAGGUCUCGCUCCAGAGAUGGGAGAUCAGAGCCGAUCAGCAGGAACUGGCGCGACCAAGACAACCGGCGCCCUCCAGUACGUGAUCGGCUGGGGGGCAGAAGUGACCGGUAUGACCGGUCGGAAGGCAGGCGCAAUGAUGGGCCGGGGGCAGAUUUAAUCGACGUGACCGGCCAGAAAAUAGAGUCAGCGUCCACAGACGACUUGAAUAGAUGGCCGAUGCUCGGGUGUUAGAUGAGAACCCUUUAGGACGCGAACUAGAAUGGGAACGCGCCAGGCCACGAACCAAACCGGUGAACCCCAGGUGGUGCCCCGAUGGAUUGACCAAGUCUCAAAAACGAAGAAUCCAACGUCUCCGCCAGUGGGAACAGCAGGAAGAAGAGCAACAGUACACGACGGACGAGAAGAAAGGCAGGUCUUAGGUAUGGCGCCCCAAAAGAAACGACAGAGGAGGCGACAAAUCAGCAGGCGAUGAAUCGGCAGCCGAUAUCGACAUGGUCUUCAUACUGCCGAUGGAAUUCAUGACUCCUGCCGACCAACAGGACAUGUCAGCAAUAGAAGAGUAGAUGGCGCAAUUGGCUUUGGAGCCAAUGACAGCCACAUUCGAGAAGCCCGAAGAAGACAAACGGCAACACCUGAAAGCGUUGUUUCUUAAAGGGCAUGUCAACGGCCGACCCAUCACCAGAUUACUGGUAGACAGAGGGGCUGCAGUCAACAUCAUGCCGUACGCCAUGUUCCGGAAGCUAGGGAAGAGCAAUGAUGACCUGACCAAGACAGACAUGAUGCUCAAGGACUUCGAGGGCAACGUAUCCCCCGCUCACGGCGCUCUCUGCGUCGACCUCACCAUCGGCAGUAAGACCCUUCCUACUACUUUCUUUAUUAUUAAUGGCAAGGGGUCCUACAACAUGCUACUCGGCCGAGACUGGAUACAUGCAAAUUGCUGUAUCCCAUCUACAAUGCAUCAAUGCCUCGUAUAGUGGGUCGGCGACAACAUUGAGGUGGUCACCGCCGAUUCCGCAUACAGCAUCGCGGCAGCCGACACGCAACAGUGGAGCUGCGAAACCGUCAAGUGCAUAUCCGGGAGAGUAUGGGAUACUGACUUCUUGAAGGUGUCCGAUUUUGGCCUACAGCCGAUCCGAGCAGUCGGCUCUGAGGACUCAGAUUAAAUGGAUCAGUUCACCCGAGAAGAUGGGAAGCUGGGACAUGGGUUCACGUCGGCCGAUUCAUUAGAAAUGAUAGACUUAGGCGAUGGCACCAUACCAAGGCCGACAUAUAUUAGUGCAAAUUUAGAUCCGGAAUACAAAUGUAAACUGACAAGUUUGUUAAGAGAACUUAAGGAUUGCUUUGCUUGGGAAUAUCAUGAGAUGCCCGGAUUAGACCGAUCUAUCGUUGAACAUCGGUUACCCAUAAAGCCAGGGUAUCGGCCGUAUCAACAGCCUGCACGGCGGUGCAAUCCUAAAAUCCUACCGGACAUAAAGGCCAAAAUAACGCGGCUAAUCAAAGCAAAAUUUAUUCGGCAAUGCCGUUAUGCCGAAUGGAUCUCCAACAUUGUACCAGUAUAUAAGAAGAACGGAAAGUUACGCGUAUGCGUCGAUUUCAGGAACCUCAAUCAGGCCACACCAAUGGACGGAUACCCCAUGCCGACGGCUGAUGUACUGAUAGAUGCCGCCGCGGGACACAAGGUUAUUAGUUUCAUGGAUGGAAACGCUGGGUACAAUCAGAUACUUAUGGCCGAAGAAGACAUAUCUAAAACGGCCUUCAGAUGCCCGGGUCACCUUGGUUUAUUCGAGUGGGUGGUAAUGACUUUCGGCUUGAAAAAUGUCGGCGCUACGUAUCAGAGAGUCAUGAACUACAUAUUCCACAAACUUAUCGGCAUACUAGUAGAAAUCUACAUCGACGACGUCGUAGUCAAGUCAAAAGGACACCAGGAGCAUCUGGCCGAUUUACGACAGGUGUUGGAAUGCACUAAGAAACAUGGGCUGAAGAUGAACCCGAAUAAGUGUGCCUUCGGCGUAUCCGCCGGACAAUUCUUAGGAUUCAUGGUGCACGAGCGGGGAAUAGAAAUCAAUCAGAAGACUAUAGCGGCCAUCAACAAAAUUGUGGCCCCGCAGAAUAAAACUGAGCUGCAAUCUCUAAUCGACAAGAUGAAUUUCAUCAGGAGGUUCAUAUCUAAUUUGUCUGGGCGAAUCCAAGCCUUCACACCAUUAUUAAAGUUGAAGCCCGACCAGGAGUUCGUAUGGGGGGAAGAGCAACGCAAGGCAUUGGAAGAUAUCAAGCAGUACUUGGUCUCACCACCGGUAUUGGUCCCUCCUCAAACUGGUAAGCCGUUUAAACUAUAUUUAUCAGCCGAUGAACGAGCUAUUGGGUCGGCUCUGGUCCAGGAGUUCGAGGGAAAGGAACGAGUAAUUUAUUAUGUCAGUAGAAGACUUCUGGACGCCGAAACAAGGUAUCCUCCAGUGGAGCGGUUGUGCCUAUGCCUUUACUUCUCAUGUACCAAACUCAGGCACUAUUUGCUAUCAGCGGAAUGUGUGGUCGUAUGCAAGGACGACGUGGUAAAAUACAUGCUGUCACUGCCGAUUUUGAAAGGAUGGAUCGAAAAAUGGAUCUUGGCUUUGUCGGAGUUUGACCUUCGAUAUGAAUCGGCAAAAGCCGUUAAGGGUCAGGUCAUGGCCGAUUUCGUUGCCCAGCACUGCGGGCCAGAGGCUACCUUCGUAGAACCAGUACCUUGGACCUUAUACUUUGAUGGAUCGUCAUGUGGGGCCGGAUCAGGAAUCGGCAUCGUCCUCAUAUCGCCUCGGGGGGCAAGCUAUGAUUUCUCUCUACCGAUAGAAGCAUCCACCACUAACAAUCAAGCAGAGUACUGAGCUGUACUGAAGGGAUUACAAUUGCUAAGGGAAGUCAAAGCUGAUUCCGUCGAAAUUUUUGGGGAUUCCAUGCUUAUCGUGGAUCAGUUAACAGGGAAAUCCGAGUGCAAGGACGAUGUAUUGAGGAUUUAUUACGAAGAUUGCCUCCUGCUUCUGAAAGAAUUCAAGUCGGCAGUUAUCGAGCACAUCCCAAGGAAUCACAACGAGGAUGCCAACAAGCUCGCCCAACACGCAUCUGGGUAUCGGCCGAUUCAAGGCGCCUUGGCUCUAGAGCUCGCGGCCAAUGACUGGCGAAAGGAGAUUGCCGAUUACCUGAAAGAUCCGUCUAAGAAAGUGGAUCGGCGGGUAUGUUUUCAUGCUACCAAAUAUGUGCUACUGGAAGACGACUUGUUCUACCGAACAAUUGAUGGCGUCCUACUCAAGUGUCUAGGAACGGAGGAGGCUAAGACUCUGAUGGGAGAAAUCCAUGAAGGAGUGUGUGGAGCCCACCAAUCGGCACAUAAGAUGAAAUGGAUGAUUAGGAAUAAUGGGUAUUACUGGCCGACGAUCCUCGAAGAUUGCUUCAAAUAUUAUAAAGGAUGUCAGGAUUGUCAGAAAUUCGGGAAUGUCCAACGUGCGCCCGCAUCGGCCAUGAAUCCCAUUAUCAAACCAUGGCCGUUCAGAGGUUGGGGGAUAGACCUCAUCGGCCAAAUUUAUCCUCCGUCAAGCAAAGGGCACAAGUUCAUUCUGGUGGCCACUGAUUAUUUCACCAAGUGGGUGGAGGCAAUUCCGUUAAGGGCCGUGACAUCGGCUGCUAUGGUUGACUUCGUAAGAGACCAUAUCGUCUACCGUUUCGGCAUCCCCCAGACUAUCACGACCGAUCAAGGGACAAUGUUUACAUCAGGAGAAUUCGAGGAGUUCACAGCCGACAUGGGAAUCAAAUUAUUAAACUCCUCUCCGUAUUAUGCCCAAGCUAAUGGCCAGGUCGAAUCUUCCAACAAGGGGAUAAUUAAGUUAAUCAAGAGGAAGAUAGAGGAGCAGCCGAAAAAGUGGCAUCUAUGUCUGACUGAAGCUCUAUGGGCAUACAGGAUGGCUUGCCAUGGGGCCACUAAGAUGUCCCCUUAUCAGUUGGUGUACGGUCACGAGGCAGUACUACCAUGGGAGUUGAGGGCAGGAUCGAGACGCACUUCGCUCCAGGACCAGUUAGCGGCCGACGACUACUCCUCACUCAUGAAAAGGGAACUUGAUGACUUGGCUGGCCAACGAUUGAGAGCUUUGAUAAGCAUCAAAGAAAACAAGAAGAAAGUGGCCAGGUGGUAUGAUAAGAAAGUCAAAGUCAAACAAUUCUCUCCGGGGGACCUGGUAUGGAAGUUAGUGUUGCCGAUCGGGUCGAAAGAUCCUAAAUUCGGUAAGUGGUCCCCUACGUGGGAAGAGCCGUAUAAAAUCGGCAGAUGUGCUCCAGGAAACGCUUAUAUUCUGGAAACAAUCGAAGGAGAGAAGAGUUUACUAGGGCUUUGAACGGAAGAUACUUGAAAAGGUACUACCCUAGUAUAUGGGUCGGAGCAUAAGGAUCGACCAUGAUGAACAACACACAGCCAAUACAAAAGGAUUCGUCUAGAGAAAAAAACGUAAUCGUCCAAAUCGGCCGAUGUAUUUCAUUCGGUACGGACGGUGGGUUACACGGCCGACAAGGUACAAGUUGCCCUUAGAACAAAAAAAAAUUAAUCACGCUUUUUCUUAAGCUCUCUCUCAGCCCGACCUAGUUCUAUCAGAAGACGGAUGUACUCUUCUUUUAUCUCUUUCAUCGAAGCCUCCGCUUCGACUUGACGGGGGAGAGGGUGACUCCGGUCCAUGGCCGGGCGUGAUGUUCCUACUGCUGCAUCUUCAAGGACGAUUUGAUGAGGAAGCGGAUGACUUCUGUCGGCUUGAGGUCGCCGGUGGUCGUUGCUGUCCAGAAAGUCCCAGAUCCAUCGGAUGUCGGCAGGGACGUGCUCUUGGAGUUCGUCGCGAUGAGCUCUGAUUAAAUCCUUAUCUUCUUGCGACAACGGUUCAUCGGAGUGUACAAGUCCGAUGGCUCGUUCGAGUUCGGGGCUAAGGCGCCGUGGCUGCGGAAAGCAACAAUAUACAUAUAGCUGCCGAAAAGGUGAUUCCCUUCAGAAGAGCUAAACUAAGAAAGAGAAUGAAGGCAAAUCUUUUACCUGAUUAACGGAGGAAGAGGUAGAGGAUGGAGAAGACAUGACUGAAAGGCGCACCGACGUGAACAGGUCGAGGAAGAUGAAGCCGAGUUAGAAAGGUACUCUCGGAACGGUCACCUAGGCCGGUGUUUAUAGGAAAGGAAGGCAUGGAUGUUUGGUAAGACGCGUCCCAUCGGGAGUGUGAAAGGUAAUAAAUAAGGGGGCGUCGCGAAGGACGGUCAAAGGGAUCAUUAAAUGUUCGUACAAGAACUGCCAGCACUUUUACAGGUCACCCAGAAGGGCAUCGAUAGCUGCGAUCGCUCGACGCCGGAUCUGAUCGGCAGAGUCCAGGACCCGUUGGUCAUCCUCUGCCGAUCCGGGGACUUCUAACAUAUGGCGGUGGAGUUUGAGGGCCUCGUGAGCCAGAUGCUGCCUCUCUCGUUUCAGAUCGGCAAUGACAGAAGGGAGUUCCUGAAGCCUCUUCUCUUCGGCGUCUAUUGCUUUGGUCACCUGCUCCAUCUCCUUGGCAAGCUCUGCCCUUCGGCGUUUGAGGCGAUCUAUCGUGCCGACGAUCCCCGGGCGAGAGUCUUCCAGAAAGUGAAUCCGUUGAUGCACCUCUUGAGCUUGACGCUUGUACGUGUCUUCUUCUUCACGAGUUUUGGUCAACUUGACGCGAUCGGCCAUGUGGCGCAGGGCCCUAAAGACUGGAAUCCUCAUUGACUCGAUAUAUGCAGCUGGCGCCAAGGCCUCUUCCGCUUCUUCUGGUACUCGCCCGCUGACGUCACCAAAAAGUUGUUGAAUCAGCGAAGCGUCUUCUACCAAUCGGCCGAUGUCCUCUUGAAGAAGGGAUCGGAUGCUUGCGAGUUUGGCACGGACGUCAUCAGGAACGGAGCUCAAAGUGACCUGGCGAGAGGCGACUUCCUCAUCAUCGGAGAGUGCGACCGCAAACGAGAAAAGGCUGUUGUUGGGGGUGUCCUGUUCCUGAAAAAUAGUGAGUCAAGAAGAAGAACAAAUCAGCCGAUGAUGAUAGCAAAUCGGCUGAGUAAGGGUGAGAAAUCUCUUACCUCCUUGAAACGGAUUUCUUCAAACUGCGUUUGGGAGGCUGUUAUCCUCGAUUCAGGGGCUGGUACCAUUGGUUCGUCAGAAGCUGAAGACUCCACCAUGAUUGGUGCUUUGCUCGGGCCAGCUUCCCGAAAGAUGACCAUUGGUUGGUUAGGUGGGGCGCUAAGCGUACCGGUGACCUGUGUCAAAAGAUUGAAUAAGAAUAUUAUCCAAAUACUAGAAAAAUCGGUUGAAGAGUAGUAUACCUCGGCAGACGGAAGCGUGGGCGUGUUGAUGACCGAUUGGGUUGCUGCCGAUUGUUGUGAGUCCACAGAAGUGAUUUGUGUAGUCUAAAAUAAGAUGAGUCAGUAUAGAGAUGGCAAUCGGUAGGAUCAAACAACAAGUUUACCUGCAUGGCCUCCACCAGUAAUGAUGCAGCGGCCGCCCCAGCUUGCGUGACGACUUGAGUAUCUACUUCUCCAGCAGCUGGAAGGGGCAAUGUGGCCGAAGUUUCUGCCGAUGUGAUCGUAGGAGGGUCGGCCGGUUCUGUACGAGCUCGCACUCGGCGACUGGUCUUCUUGGUAACCUUCUUCUGCGCCUGCUUCGAUCGGCCGGCAAUCACAUCCACGGAAGGGGCAUCGUAGCCGAUAAGGGGGAAGAUGGUGUAUAGGUGAUGGUCCUCUAUCGGCCGGCCACUCCGACUGUGUGUUGGGGGAACGCAGUUUUCAGACUGAAGCAACAGCAAGAUGUUAGUGUACAUAUUUAACCGCAUUAAUAAAGGAAUGAAAAUCAGUUAGGGAAAAAAAAUACCUCGGUGUUCGGAUCGAUGUUGGCUGGAUCCAGGAGGUUGCAGUAUGUCGAUGCGGAGGCACAGAAUAGGUACUGUUUUCAUUCGGCCCACCAUAGCUUGAAUGGUUGGACAACAAAGGGGGCUACUAUCCAGUCAUUCAAGUCUAUGGUACUGGAGUCUGGUAUCCGGUCUCGCAGCCGACUAUAGUCAAGACCCUUGGUGAGCUCAUCUCUGAACUUUGCUCGGCCGACGAAGUAUGCCUGAAUCGGCAGUUGACCCAUGCCGAAUUGCCGAGCUGCAACGGAGGGAUUGUAGAAUUCAUAUGUAGGGGCAUCCUUUCCUGAGAAGAAGUUGGCCGGUAAGAUCCCCGGUUUAAUUAGUUCAUCUGUGAGAUCUUCGUCGAAUCAGCCGGUGGUUGAGUCGAAGCAAGAAGGGAGUUCAAAGAUUGGGUCAUCUCUCCAAUAAGGAAACCAGACGGUUGCAUCUUCAUUGAAGCCGUUAUAAAAACACUGGAAGUAUUCGGCCACCUUGGUAGCAGAGUACGAGCAACCAGAGAAGGCCGAUGCCGCUUCGCCGAAAGACAUACACCGGCGUCGGACAGUGAGAUUCUCUGCCGAUUCGACGCUGGGGAAUGUCAUGUGUUCCACUCGCUGCUGAGAGAUCUCGCUCAUGUACAAGUUCAGCCAUAAGUUAAUGAACCACCAGGGUCCACCUGGGUUUCCAAUUGGCUACCCUUGGGAUAGCUUGAUGCCGAUUUGGUGAAGCAUGUGGUAGGCUGCUCCCAGUAAGUGCUUUCCAAGAGGAACAGAAGUCCCUAUUGAUAAUGCUUCGGCCAGAGCUUGGGUAUUGGUAGAUGGACCAGCUGCUCUCCCACAGAAGAAGUGCUUCUCUAGCCACAUCAUCAGGAAGGCCGUGUGCUCUCUGUUGUCGACAGAUCCGGCCCUUUUGUUGCAUCUGAUGAAACCUUUCCACCUGCCGAUUCCCCUUGUGUCCAGCCGAUGUGAUGUUGCGGUUAUAAGGCGGAAAGGGGUGUCCGGGGAAGAAAUAUCCAGGCCGGUCAGGAAGACUACAUCGGCCAAUGUGGGGGUCAUGGGUCCGUGUCCAAACAGGAAUGCGUUGAGAGCAUUGGACCAGAAGUAAGAAGCUGCCACCACUAAUGGCUCAUUCCGUUCCAUUUGGGACAAAGAUAGAUCGAUGCAUUGGCCAAUUUUGAGCUCGUCCCAUUGGACCUUCUUGGAAGCGGUUAUCCGCUGGUACCAUUCCCUCCAACUGGGAGUUUCGUUCGGCCAAGACCUAAAGGUACUCAACCAGUGAUCUAGGUCCAUAGUUGAUUGUUUGAAGGGGAUCCUAUGGGUUUUCCAAAUUGAUUAAGUCGGUUGGAUCUGGAUUUCCCAUGGGUCCAAGACAGAUAAGGCCGAGGUUUUCUGUGAGACGAAUGGUGAUGCGAUGCCUAACCGCCUAAAAAGGAAAAGGGGGUGCGAGGGUAAGAAAUAGAUCUAAAGUACAUGCAUUACUAAUAAGGGAAAGUUUCGGUAAUGACCUCCGGGAUGAAGCUCCUCGUAAUCGGCGGAGUCGCCGGUGCAGCUGCAGACGAUGAAGCUGCCAAUGGGAUCUCGGAUGAAGCUUCAACUUUCGCCAAUGGAGCUCCUUCUUCCGUCGAUGGAGCCGUCGUUAUCGCUACUGGAACCUCCGCCGAAGGCACCAUUUCUGGAGCUUCGCGCAUUGGUGAGGUGCCUGAAGGUGCCGCCAUUGGAAAAGUAGGAGGCAAUGCGAAAGGAAGGAGGCGCUGGAGAAUUGGUGGACUAAGGAAAGUGUUGGAGGAAGAAGAAAGCCUGUGCACUGAAGAAGAUGGACAUGAGCUCGUAAGGAGUACGGGAUGUGCUGAUAUUUAAAGAACGUCUGAGAAGGGGUAAAAGUGGAAUUUUUACCGCGCUGGCGUUUUGAGUUUUUCGGGAGUAGUGGUUGUCGUGGGCACCCGUUUCGAAAAGAUUGCAAUCAUCAGGUUGGAGACCGCGAAAUGGAAGGAUGUUUUCAUUGCGUCUGUUUCGGAUGAGAAGUUGAAAAGAAUUUUGAAGUAAAGACUAUGUUUUACUCCGAAACUGGGAGGCAUGUGUUGACGCCAGAUUUUGACACGAGUAAAAUCGGCGUUAGAAAUGGAAUAAAUUAGGAGAUGCGGCGAGAUACAAGGGCGACGAUUGGAAAUCGGCCGAUUGGUGCUACAGUCAAGGAUCGGUUGGUUGGUGCUGCAGUCAAGGAUCGGCCAAUUGAUGCUACAGAUGAGGAUCGACCGAUUGAUCCUUGGAGUUCCGCCUCGCCCAACCCCUGGUUUGGGAUCGGACGCGCCCGACCCUCCAAGGGAGGAUCUCCGCCUCGCCCGACCCCUGGUUUGGGAUCGGACGCGCCCGACCCUCCAAGGGAGGAUCUCCGCCUCGCCCGACCCCUGAGGUUUGGGAUCGGACGCGCCCGACCCUCCAAAGGAGGAUCUCCGCCUCGUCCGACCUUAGUUCCCAGGGUCGAAAUGAGUCUGAGCCCUCGAUAUGUGGGUCCUGAUCGGUUACCCCCUUGCCAAAGAGGUGAUCGGCCGAUUAGGAGGUUGGAAUAGUUGGGCCGAUGUGGGCUCAAGAAGGAUUAUGAAGAUGAAGAGGGGGUCAGCCCAUGAAGCGCGUGAAAAUAGUACGAAUCGUACUUGUAAAUAUUCGUUUUCUGUUUAAAUUUAGGGAUAGAGUUCUAGUCGGAUAAGAAGUCGUUCGUACGGGGCUAUAAAUAGCCACCGUUGUAGAUCUGUAAUCAUCAUCAACUCAAUACAACAAACUACUAUUUCCUCGUACUUACUUUCAAGCAGGCGACUUUACCAACACUUUUUCUCCUUUUUCACGAGUUCAUACGGGUUGGCGGGGCUGCAUCAACUUGACCUCCGGCCGAUCUUGUAAGUUCCGUUUAUCGACUAAAUUCUAAGCUUUAACUUCGGGCGCAUCGCUGUCGUUUCGUUUAGAUUUAUUCAUCAGUUAUCGAUAUUUACUAGAAUUCUAGGUUUUACCUGUUGUUCUAGUUUUAUCACCAAUUAUCCAGCUAGGAAUCGGUAAAUUCGGCUUUCUUUAUACUUCUCUGUCUAAUCUAUUUAUUUUAGCCGAUUAGAUCUGUUCCUAGUGUUGCUACUGUAGCGUUGUUUAGAUUACUCUAGCAGUUUUCUUUAUAAACGUUACCUGGUAAUCGGUUGCACUAUAGCCGAUUUCCUUAUUACGGCAAAUCGGCCGAUUCGCUGAUAAGCUUUCUUGAGACCGGAACCUUAGCCGAUCGCAACCUCUGGGAACUGACAUGUUUAUUUCCUUGCCAAUCAACAGGUCAGAUUGGCUGGCACGCCGCGCGAACCGCACCAGGGCAAUCACCCGAACAGGAGUUAAGCAGAUUCUCCCGGGUCGUGUGUCCGACGCUGGAAAUUCGGUCAGCUGAUUUCUAGCGCCAACAGGCUCAUUUAUGUCGCCUGACACGCGAAUAUGCACUUUAACCAAGUCAACCUGGUCGACCGUCGGAUUUCAUCCGAUGAACCACUUACACAGGAUCAAGAAGCAUCGCUCAAACGAAGGUGAGUAGCACAGAGGUUACAACAUUCCAUUAUGACAACUUAGUUCCACAAUUUAUUACAUCAGAGUUUCAGAAAUUCAAACAAGUUGCAAGGUUCGAAAAGUCGGAUAAAACAAGCGAAAACUAAACGUCGAUACAGGAUAUCAUGACGAAGUUGAUCAUGACAUCAAAAAUCCCUACCCUCACCGUCCGAGGAGGGAUCCCACUCGAUUGUCCAGCCCGGAGGGAGCUGGGUAGGCCAAGUGGUGCCAGCAACCAAACUAUUGACAUGACCUGAAAAGAUUAAGCCAUAACAAGGCUGAGCAACUAAUACUCAGCAAGACUGACCCGUCGAGUGAAAAGCUUUACCAAGACCUAGACAUGCAAGGCUUUCUGGCUCUGGGAUUACUUUGCCAAAAGCAUCUACAGUCGGUCCUUACUUUCAAUAUUUUAGCUUAAGUUCUACGUUCUUUAACCAGUCUAGAUUAGCAACUUAUACUAAACAAGCAUAAUUUCCAAGUAGUUAAAUAACAAGCAUCAACUUAAUCUCAUAAUCAUGUUUCAUCGUUACUCAGUGCAGAAUAGCGAUCAAGUAGUCCCAAACUGUGAGAGACAGAUGAAUCGAUUCGAAUUUAUUAACCAUGCAUGGCGAACCUAAUCUCACGACAUCCGCGCACCACGAAGGGUCGCUUCAUUUGUCAGCCGUCCCCAUCGAUCCCUUAGGCACGUGUCAGGGCCAAACUGCCUUUGGCGUGCAAUGCUCCACAGUCCCGACCUCUGUCGUACUGUGACCGCCACUGCACCCACAUGAUGCACCAUGGGAACGACGUUCCAAGGACAGCAGGAGUAUAAGCCACGUCCCAGUUCAGUCAGGUACUAGGCUUCCCCAUCCCAGACUAGGUAUGAGAUUAGUACUUUCAAACACUUGAUCACGAACGCUGACACGUUUCAACCUUAGAUCAAUUUCCUUUAGACAGACGGGGAAAACCACCAAGUAUCGAACAUAAGCCCGACCCCGUCCGUCAUCCUUAUAGUUGCAACAUAAAUAAACAUUCAACUCCUAUAACUCGCGAGUGAUAGGAAAUCACUCGACUUUUACUGAAACCUAAUAAGCAUUGCAACUACUCGACUUUAGCAACUAGUAUUCAAACAAGGUACUAAGUUCAUGCAUCUACGGUUUCAAUCAACUCCUACACACGUAAAUGCGCAAACAUAAACAUCAACAUGUUGCAUAAAGUAAAACAGGGAAGUCAUGCACCGGGGCUUGCCGUCAGGAAGAGUUAGCGGGUCCUCGGGGUCUUGAUCCGGCUCAGGCUCGCCUUCCAAGUGGUGAAGCUCCGCAGCGGGGUCUUCCUCCGGUGUCGGGUGGAGCUCGUAGGUUCCAUCGGCGAGAUUUGCUUCUAUACGACAUGCAUAUGCAAAAGUUUAGUUGGACUCACGCGUUUAUUCAACGACACAAGGCUUGGCUUAAGACAAGGAGUUGCAACAGCCACAUUCACUUUGACGAGGUUCAACUUUCAUGCAACUUCAAACGAAUGUGGUCGGUUUAAACUUGAGUUCGAGUUGAAUGGCGAUUGUGUACAUAUAUAGUUUUCUUACACUUAGAGUUGCAUAAAGAGAAUGAAAGGUCGUGUUUGGGUGGUUUGGGUGCAUUAGGAUAGUUACUUACUUCUGAAUGUUUUUAUGUACCUCUUUCAAUUUCCACUUAUUUAUCGUAUUAGAAUUUGUGCUUUCCUUUUAUUCCUUUAGGUUGAUUAAUUAACCAAAAUGACUUCAUAUCCAAACAGCAGCUAAAGGCACUGAUAAAAUUACAACACCUCACUUAAGCCAUAGCUGGGUUACUCUAAAAUUUUGGGGGCCAUUGGAUGACUUAAAAAGGAAUUACAUGCAUUUUAUUAUUAAAGGUAAAAUGAGCUUAACUUUUUCUAUCUUCAAAGUUACUAUGCAACAGAGGGUGAAACUUAACCAGUGUGUUAAGGGUAUGUUACAGGAUCUUUGGCGAAUUUUUCAUAAUUUUUGAAGAAGGUUAACUAUUUACUCUAUUUCCUUUUUAAUUAAACAUGCUUAGCAAGGAAGGUGUUUUUUCUUUCCGAAUUGCACAACAAUUUACAUUUUUCCUGCAAACUUCACAGCAAAACAAAAUUAACCCAACUAGUUUCACAUUUUUUUGAGCUCUGGAUCAAAACGUAUGCAAAAAGGAAGAAUUAAUCUUAGAUUCCCAAAUUAAAGUCAAAACAAUGACUUAAAGUGCUAGACCAGAGCCCUAACCAUUUUUCUGAGCUUCUACACAUAGAAACAAGCAUCACAGAGUUGGUUUUACAUUUUUCCCACUUUUCUUCUAUUUAAUAGGAUUAAAAAGGCCUAAACCAUGAUUAAAAGCAUAUGAUAUUAUUUACAACAGUAACAUGAGCAAACUUAUUUUUCUUAGGAACUAGAUAGAGCAAGGAUUCCAACAAAAGUGGUUUGGUAUUUUUAUGAUUUUUCUACGAUUUACUGGGCAUUUACAAAGUUCAACCAUAUUUCUACCUAUUAUUUAAAAGAAAAGCCGUGGCAAACUUGCAGGUUAGCCCCUGGGUCUAUGGGUUAACUACGCAGAGGUCCCUGAGUUUUGCGCCCAGGCCCCUGGAAAGAAUGGGGAUGAUGCAAUGUAGUCCCCAGGGCGCGCGCGGCGGCGGCGAGGAAAUCCCCGGCGGUUCGUCGGCGGGGAUGGGGCAACAAGUGGUCGGAGGGGUGCGGGGGCUCACCUGAGCUCGGUUUGGUGGGGUUGGGGCGACGGAGAUGGUCGGUAGGGAUCAAAACACGGCGGCGGCGACAGAGCUUGGCUGGUGGCGGUGCAGGCGUCGUUCCGGCGCACUGGCGGCGUCGGGGAGGCCACGGGCUGCUCGGAGACGUGCGCGGAGGGGGGGCGAAGUGGGCGGCGAAGUUGCCGGAGUACGGGGUGGCGCGGAGGGGUGAGCUCCACGGGAGCUUAGCGGCGGCGCUGAGAAGGAAGCAGAGGCGUGGUUGCGAGCGGUGGCAAAGGGUGGCAUUGCCGGUGAGGGGGACCCUUUUAUAGGGCAGCGGUGGAGCGGAGGGUCGAGGUGGGGCUCCGGUGGAGGAAGGAUAAGGCCGGGAGCGGUGCGUGCGCGAGCGAGGCGGCCAUUGGCCAGCGGUGCCAUUGGGCAGGGGAGGCGGAGCUCCGGGUGGUCUCUGGCCGCGAUUGGCCUCGAGCGAUGCGUGUCUGAGGCCUCCGGUCUGUCGGCGGGCGAAGCGGAGGGCCACCGCGGGGGUUGGGCGAGCGGGCGGAGGCGCGGGACGUCGUUGGCGUGGUGGCUUCUCCAGCGGGUGGGCGAAGCGCGGUUGGGCAGAGCAGAGCCGCGGCAGAGGGAAGGGCACGCGCGCGGCCGACGGUUGGCCAGCCCGGCGUUCGCCCCGUCUUGUCGCAGGCGCGGGUUGGGCGCCGUGGCUCUCACCUUAUCGUUGUCUCGCCGGGGAUAGGGCGCCGGUGAGCUGCCGGUGGCCAGCGGCCACGAGGCACGCGGUGCGCGGGCGAACAUGCCCUGGCGCGCGGGCGUUGAGGCCCCUUCGGGCAGUAAGCCCGACCAGCUUUGAGAGAUCCUAUCUCAAGAUUUUGCAACACAACUUCCAAAACUCUUCUAAACAAACUUGUUCAACUCUGGACGUAGUUCAAACUUGGUUUAAGGUGCUGGUUUAGAUUGUGAAAGGAUUUGGAGAUAUCUCAUGCCAAAGUUUGCCAAAAAUAUGGAAAUCCAGACUUAGCCAAUUUUGGCCGGAGAGGUGGAAUUUCAGGAACUUAGCUAUGUUUGAGUCAACUUUAGGGCAGCUUCCAAGUUGAAUUAGACAGAAGUGUUAAUAGAGGAGUUGCUCUCCAAACUGAGGACUUCAACUUCUAUUUAGGGUAUUUCUGGAGUUUAGUUCAGAAAUUUGGAGGAACGCCCUCGCCAAGAGGUGCACUCUGAGCAGUUUUCCAGACUUAGCGUUGUGGUGCUCAGGGGCUGAGUUGACUGCUUUGCUCAACUUUGACCAAGAUUUUGAACAGGUUCUGGUUCGAUUUGGACCUGGGUCAUUGUAACAAACUUGGAAAACACUUGAGGUAUUACAACCUUUAUUAAGAGCCUGACUUGAGUUUAGAUAUGAAAUCGUGAGAUAAAGGCUUGCAAAGUUGGAGGAAAACUUGAAUUCCACGACUUGGAGGUUUAUAGGGUUCUUUAUUAUUCCGGUUUUGAUUCCUGUUUUUGACUUCCUCCCACUCCGAAUUAGCCAAAGUGACUUUAACAAAUAUUGUUUGAAAUUAAAAGUGUUACAACUCUUAUUUGGGCAAAAUUUUAAGUUUGUAUAUAAAAUCUCAAGUUUUAUUUUAAACUCCAUAAAGAGCUUCUUAGGGUUAAAAUGGUCAUUUCACUUCCUUUACUUAGUGAUUAACCACUGGUUUAUAUUUAAAGCACUUAAUUUAGGUAGAGUUGUUACAAGUAUCCACUCACUACUUUACCAAAUGGGUGCAGGCAGUCCCUCUGAAGACCGUGACGUUGGCCGUCAUGAUUGAAUUCAUAAGCGAGCACAUUAUCUAUUGGUUUGGUAUUCCUCAGACUGUUACGACCGAUCAGAGAACAAUGUUUACUUCAGGAGAGUUUGAGGAGUUCACUUCCGAUAUGGAAAUUAAGUUGUUAAAUUCUUCUCCAUAUUACGUUCAAGCUAAUGGUCAGACCGAAUCGUCCAAUAAAGGGAUAAUCAAGUGUAUCAAGAGGAAGGUAGAGGAGCAACCAAAGAGAUGGCACAUGACUUUAAGCGAGUCUUUGUGGGCCUACAGGAUGGCCUGCCACGGCGCUACUAAGGUGUCUCCUUAUCAAUUAGUGUAUGGAUAUGAGGCGGUGCUCCCUUAGGAAUUGAGGAUGGGGUCUAGACGCACGUCGAUUCAAGAUUAGUUGACAGCCGACGAUUAUUCUCUCCUUAUGAAAGGGGAGCUUGAGGAUUUGGUGGGUCAACGAUUGAGGGCCUUGAUCAGUAUUGAAGAGAAUAAGAAAAGACUUGCCAAGUGGUAUGACAAGAAGGUCAAGGUCAAGCAGUUCUCGCAAGGGGAUUUGGUAUGGAAAUUGGUAUUGCCGAUAGGGUCUAACCAUCCCAAAUACGGCUAGUGGUCGCCUACUUGGGAAGGGUCGUAUAAAUCGAUCGAUAUGUGCCAGGAAAUGCAUACGUAUUAGAGACCAUCGAGGGAGAGGAAUUUACAAGAGCCUUAAAUGGGAGAUAUUUGAAAAGAUACUAUCCCAGCAUAUGAGUGGACGCGUAGCCGAUGAUAUAGUGUAUCGAGUCGUUAUGGCCGAUUCCUAUUGACUCGUGUUUAUAUAGCCGAUGCAGGGAGGCAUCGCCUUGAGGACGAAACCUCUAAUCAAAUUGGCCGAUUAUUAUUCGGUACGGUGAUUGGAUACAUGGCCAACAUGGUACAAGUCGCCCUUAGACCAAAAGUACCAAUACAUCUAUCGGGUUACAAUAUGAUUAACUGCAUUUCAACUGGGCUUUGUUUUUAUUGAUCUCUCUUUGGACCCGGCCUAGUUCUAUUAAGAGACGGGUGCUCUUUUCCUCCCUAUCCGCCAUGGCAUCUUUGAGAGCGACCUGGCAGGGUAGCUGAUGACUCCUCUCAAUUGGCGGCUGAGGUGGCUCCCUGGAGCUGUUGGCUUCGAUGUGAUCCACGAUCUUCUUAAUGUGGGUCGGAAGAUGGUCUUUAAGCUCCUCACGGUGGGCUUUGAUCAGGUCUUGGUCCACCUGCAUCAGUGGUUCCUCAGAGUGCAUAAUUUCGAUAACUCGCUCAAGAUCAGGGCUGAGCCGGGUCGGCUGGACAAACAGCGGGCAAUCAGUUGUCGAAAAGAAUUGGUCAAGGAGCGCAAGGCUGAUCUCAUACCUCAUUGACGGGGGAAGAAGAAGACAUCUUGGCGCCCGGUUAGGGAUCUGAAAAUGGUCGAGCAGAGUGUAGAAGGAUGGAUGAGAUACGAGUGCCUCUGGGAGGAAUGUAGGGACCCCAUAUUUAUAGGAGAAAAGGUAAGGGGCAACGGUUGGCAAAGGCAUCUAUUCAAAGCAGAUGAAUGUUGAGCUAAAAGCUGCGAAGAGGAAACGUUCAAGUCCGUAUUCACACAAUGAUGGCAAAAGGGGCAUUAAAUGUUUGUGCAGAGGUGUUCAAAAGAUAAUUCAAUGUUUUGAUACAUUCAUUCAAGAAGAAUAUUAAUGGCCGCGAUUGCCUACUGGCGGAUCUGAUCCGCUGAAUCUAGAACUCGUUGGACAUCUUCGGCUGAUCCAAGAAUUUCUAGCAUGUUGCGAUGAAGCCGGAUGGCCUCAUGCGCAAGGGUUUGCCUCUCCUGCUUCAGAUCAGCGAUGACGGUCGUGAGAUCAUGAAGAUUAUUCUUUUUGGCGGUUAUAGCCUUUGUCACCUACUCCAUCUCCUUGGCAAUCUCUGCCCUAUGCUAUUUGAGACGGUCUAUUGUGCCGACGAUGUCUGGGCGAGAAUUUUCGAGUACGCCGAUUCGGUGAUGUACCUCUUGAGCUCGGUGUUUGUAGGAAUCCUUCUCUUCACAUGGCUUUGCCAGCUUGGCAUGAACGGCCAUGUGCCGCAGGGCUCUGAACACCGGGAUUUGCAUUGACUCGAUGUAUGUAGGAGGUGCAAGAGCUUUUUCUACAUCCUUCAGGACUCGGCCUUUUAUUUCGCUGAAGAUUUGCCAAAUCGGCGAAGCGUCUUCCACCAAUCGGCCGAUGUCAUCUUGAAGAAGUGCUCGGAUUCUCUGGAGCUUUGCACGUACUUCUUCCGAAAUUGAACCUGGAGCCACUUGUCGAGAGGCUACCUCUUCAUCAUCAGAAACAGCGAUCGCAAAUGAAAAGAGGCUGUUAUUGGGCGUAUCUUGUUCCUAUAAAAGUAAGAGAGGAAGGAACGGAUUAGCCGACAGUAGUGGGAAAUCGGUCGGAUUGGAUGUCGAAGGCCCUUACCUGUUUAAAAUGAAUUUUCUUCUGUUUGUGUUUGGGGGAUUGCUACCCUUGUCUCAGGAAUCAGCAUGGUUGGCUCGUCAGAAGAAGAAGACUCGACGGUGAUCGACGUUGUGUUUGGACCGGCUUCCUGAAAGUAACAAAAGGAGAGUCUCUAUAAGUAUGAAGCAAUAGUUAGAUCUAAGGAUGAGUACCAGUUACUUUACCUCUGUGAGUCGUCCGGCCGAUGACUGUUGGAAAGGUAUGAUUGAUGUACCCAGAGUGGCCUACAUUAGAAAUCGGUCAUUUUUGACUAAGGAAUAAGAGACUUGAGUAAGAUGUAUGUUCUUUACCUCAGCUGCAAGGAUUGCUGGUGGUUCGGUCUCUGCUUGGGAUGCGACCGAUUGCUGUGAGGUUUGCUCCGAAAGAAUUUGCGCAGCCUAACAAAAAGUGGAAAUUAAUACUGAUAGUAUACUUGGAGAAAUGUGAAGCAUAUAAAGUUACCUGAACAUCUUUUACCAAUAAGGAUGCAGCUGCUGAUCCGGCUUCCGUAGCGGCUUGGGGGUCGACCUCCUGGGCGAUCGGCAGAGUUGGUGUGGCUGAAGACUCGGCUGGUGGCACCGCCGAUUGAUCGGCCGGUUCUAUACGGGCGCGCACCCGGCGGCUUGUCUUCUUUGAAGAGGAUAUCUUCAUCUUCUGCUUCAAUCGGCCUGUGAUGAUAUCUUCGAUUGACGGGGACUGAAAGCCGAUGAUUGGAAAUGAAGUAUAUGGGUGGCGAUUCUCUAUCGGCCUGCCACUACAGUUGUGCGUUGGAGAGAGUUGGCUUUCAGACGACAAGAAAUGAGGGAAAUCAGUGGUAAUACUGUAAGAGUACGGUGUCAAAUCGGCCAGAAGGAUUGGUACCUCUGCAUUCGGAUCAAUGUUAGCGGGGUCCAGAUCAUUACAAUAUGUUGUAGGAGAUGUGCAGAAGAGGUGUUGUUUCCACUCACCCCACCAUAGCUUGAAUUGUUGGACAGCGAAGGGGGCCACAACCCAGUUGGCCAAUUCGAUGGUACUGGAAUCCGGCGUCAAGCUGCACAGCUGAUUGUAUUCAAGACCUUUAGAGAGCUCCUCCCGACACUUAACGCGGCCGGCAAAAUAAAUCUUAAUCGGCAUUUGUCUGAGGCCGAAUUGCCGCGCUGCCACUGAUGGGUUGUAGAAUUCAUAGGUUGGGGAGUCUUUUCCUGAGAAGAAGUUUGCUGGUAGGAUCCCAGGCUUGAUCAAAGUAUCCAUAAGCUCAUUAUCGAAGUAAUUGAUGGUUGAAUUGAAGCAGUCGGGGUUUUCAAAGAGUGGCUCAAUUCUCUGAUAUGGGUACCAGCUUGUAGUUUCUUCAUUGAAGCCGAUAUAGAAGCAUCUGAAAUACUCAGUUGUAUUUGUGGGGGUAAACUUGCUGCCAGGAGAAGCUGACGCUACCUCGCCAAGGAAGUGCAACGCCGUCUUAAUGUUGGGUUAUCCUCUGAUUCAAUAUUGGGGAAUGUCUUGGUCUCAACUCGUUCCCUGGAGAUCUUGCUCAUGUAUAAGUUGAGCCAGAUGGUGAUAAACCACCAGGGGCCACCAGAGUUCCCAAUCGGCUCUCCGGAUGACAGCUUGACUGCGAUUUGGUGCAUCAUAUGAUGAGCCAAUCCUAGCAGGUGUUUUCCUAAGGGGAUAGUAGAACCUUUUGCUAGGGCCUCGACCAGAGCCUGUGUAUUGGAGGAGGGGCCAACUGCUUUGCCACAGAAGAAGUGCUUCUCUAACCACAUCAUCAGGAAAGCUGUGUAUUCUCUAUCGCCGAUAGGACCGGUCUUCAUAUUUUUAUCAAUAUAGCAUUUCCACCUGCCGAUUCCCUUUGUUUCCAGGCGAUGGGUUGGUUUGAUCAGGAAAUUGAAGGGCAAGUCGGGGGAAGAGAUGUCAAGACCGGUCAGCAUCAGGACGUCGGCCAAAGUAGGGGUCAUGGGCCCAUGUCCAAAAAGGAAAACAUUGAGAGCGUCAGACCAGAAAUAAGAAGCUGCCAUGACCAAAGGUUCAUUCUUCUCCAUUUGAGACAGAUAUAAGUUUAUGCAUUGGCCGAUUUUUAGUUCAUCCCAAAGAACCCUCUAAGAAUUGGACAUCCUUUGAAACCACUCUUUCCAGCCAAGGGUUUCGUUCGGCCAAGAUCUAAAUGCACCUGUCCACUGGCUUAAAUCCAUUGGUGACUGCUUGAAAGGGAUCAUGUGGGUUUCCAGGUUGAUCAAUUCAGUGGGAUCUAGAUUCCCCAUGGGGCUAAGACCGACGAGGCCGGGUGCGUCAGAAACAGGGAUGGUGAUUUGCUGCCUAAGUUCCUAAAAAGGAUACAAAAGGAGAACUAAGAACAGAUCUAAAAGAUGCGUGAAUGGUGAAAAGUAAAAGUAAAAACUUUGGGAUAUUUACCUCUGGAAUGAAAGCCAUAGUCGCCUAUGGAGCCGCUAUUGGAGUAAACAGAAUAGGAUGGACGGAAGAUGAAGGAGGAAUCACCGUAGGAAUGCAGUUGGAAGAUGAAAGGGUGCCGAAAUGCGAUGGAAGAUGAUUCGCCGGGGAAAAAAGAGUUUCCCAGCUUGUGGAGAAGAAGCGGCGGAGAAUGCAAAUAUUUAAAGAUGGUUCGAGAGAAGGGUAAAGGUGGGAUUUUACCGCGCUGUCUGCACAAAUUUCGGGAAGAGCGGUUGCCUGCGAGCGCCUAGCUCGAAAAUUGUGAUCAUCAGAGAGAAGACCGCAGAACAGAAAGGAGCUUUCGCCGUGCCCGCCUCGGAGGAUGAGUUAGAGUUGAAAAAAAUUUGAAGCAAAAAGUUUCACUCUGAAACUUGGGGGCAUGUGUUGACGCCGGAUUUUGACACGUACUUGAAAUCGGCGUCAAAGAAGGAGAAAGGGGGGCCGAUGCGGCGGACUAGAAGCUACAGUUGGGAAUCGGCCGAUUGAAGCUACAGUGUUUCAGCCGAUUGGUGGAAGAAAUCGGUGGAGGCUGGCCGAUUGAGAGCCAAAGCAGUUUGGCCGGUUUGGGCCUAAGGUGGACCAGGAUGAAGAUUUGCUGAAGAGACAGGCCCGUGGGAAAAUAAUAACCAACUCGAAUAUGAGUCGUGUUUGUAACUAUUUGUUGUCGUUUGAAAUUAGAGAUAGAUUCUAGUCGGUUAUGAAAUCAGUUGCAACAGGCAAUAAUAGCUGCCUCGAGAGGCUUGUAAAAAAAUAACACACAAUCAAUAAAACAAAUUUACUCUUUCCUCGUACUUUACUUUCAAGUCGGCGACUUCGCCAAAACCUUUUUCUUUCACGAGUUCGUACGGAUUGGCAGGGCUGCAUCUACAUGAUCUCCGACCGAUUCUGUAAGUUCCGCUUAUCGAGUAAUAUCUAAGCUUUAACUUCGGGCGCAUCGCUGUUGUUUCAUUUAGAUUUAUUCACUAGUUAUCGAUAUCAACUACAGUCAUAGGUUUUACCUGUUAUUUUAGUUUUUAUCACCAAUUAUCCAGCUUGAGGUACGAGCUAUCGGCUUCUAUUAUUUUUAUCCUUUAUCAUCACAUAGCUGAUUAGAUCUACUCCAAGUGUUGCUUUUGUAGUGUUGUUUAGGUUGCUCUAGAAGUUUUCCUUACGAUUGCUACGUGAGUAUCGGCUGUCUUAUAGCCGGUCAUCUCUAUAGUAAAUCGGCCGAUUCGCUAAUACGCUCUUCAAGACAGAUCGGAACUCUAGCCGAUCGAAACCCCUAAAAUUUAAUAUUCUUCUUUCCUUUGUCAAUCAACAGGUCAGAUUGACUGGCACGCCGCGCGAACCGCACCAGGGCAAUAACCUGAACAGGAGCUAAGCAGAUUCUCCCGGGUCGUGUGUCCGACGCUGAGGGUCAUCGGCCAAUUUUCAGGGCCAACAACAGCUUUUGGGCAAAAGCAUAUAGGACUUUUAGGGGGUGUUUGGCAUGGCUCUAGAGCUGAACUCCGGUAACUCCAGCCAAUUUUCCAGCCAAACACCCUAGCUCCAAAACUCCAUGGAGCUGCAGUGCAAAUGGGAUGGAGUUUUGGCGCACCUCUUUUGUAGCUCCAAAACCACCUAAUAUGAACCUCCUCGUGGAGUUGGUGGGUAAUUAACCAUCAAUGCCACUGAUUAAAAUAAAAAUGAUUCACUUCUAUUUUCUCUCGAGACCCCUCCCCGCGCCGCCCGAGGCCUCCUGAUGCCGCUCUCCUGCGCCGCCGCCUAGCGCCGCCGACAGCUGCUGUCGCCGUCCGUGCCCCGCGUCCUGCGGGCUACCGCCUCGCCAUCCCCAUGAGCCCCCUGCACCGCCGUCAGAGCCGCCAGCCGAGCCGCUGCGGCCGGGUUUCCGCCGUCUUGCCGCCUCUUUCCUCAACUGGAGUGAGCCAUCAGCAGCAGCAGAUUCCCCUCGGCGAGCCACGCCCGUUUCGCCGGUUCCGUUGUCACCCUGCUGCCGGAGUGCCGCCGCCACCGUGAAAACCGCCCGCCCCCCGAUCUCCACCACCACGCUGACCACCUCCGUCCAUGCCCUCCGCCGGUGAGCACACCCGUAGAUUCCCCUCGACCCCCUCUUCCUCUUGCGCCACCUGCCCAAAACACCACCUCGCCGGAGCGCCAGCAAGCUAGCUGGCCAGAGCCCCGGUGAGAGGAGGAAGAAGGAACCUGGCUCUUUUGUGAUUGGGUCCUUGAGGAAAGCUAAAAUCUUUUGCUCUGUUCCUUGCUCCCGGCGAGAGGAGGAAGAAUAGUGGGCUUCUGUGGUGGAGGGCGAGAUCGAACCAGGAGUCAGAAUGUCAAUCUACCCUCAAACUCCUCUUUUCUGGAGUUGGGAACACCCUCCCAACCAAACACCUUCAUCAGACAGCAGGUUGAAAAGAGGCACAUGAGGCUCAGCCGCUUAGGCCCACGGGCAAAAAAAAAAAACUCUUACUUUAUGGCGGAGUAGUUGCUGUUCCAGUGUGCAGGUAAAUUGUCGCAAAUGCCCUCUUGUGGUCGCGUUGCAGUAGCCGAUAAGGCGUCCAAACGUGAGGUGCACACACCUGAUCUGAUCCUCUCAGUGGAAACGGGCCAGGUCCAUGCAACCCAGGACAGGAAGGCUCUAUACCUGGGCCGAACGGUAGCCCAAGAGGCCGACAGUAAGUGAGCUCACGGGUGACGAACGGCCCAGAAGCCGCCCCAAUCCGGCCACCGCCACUGAGCCGGCUCGACUAAACCGGAUCGCCACGCAGCCCGACCGCGCAGGCGUACUUCCCGAACUACCCCCGGAGAUUAUCCAAUCGGACGGCCAAGCGCCACGCACUGCCAAAGAAUUCCCCGAAAUGACCCUACUCUUCCCUUUGCCUCCCUCGCGUGCCGCCGGUUCUGCUCGACCGGACCAGCGGUUCAGGCGCCGAAUAUUCGCCCGCGGAUAUUUCUUGCCCGGUGCGUCAACUCCGCCGCUAUAAAUACCCUCAUAGGGCGGCCGCUAGGGUUUUAGUGCUUCUCUCCCGGCGGCGCCUCCACAUAUCGUCUCUCAGAUCGGGAGGCGAAACCAAGGUGACUGACCUCAUCCCCUUUCUCCUCCCUCCGUCUCUGGUUGCUAUAGCUAUUUCAUCCAUGCGCUGUCCUUAUAGCUGAUUAGUAUUUUUACUAGUGGAGUUCGAGUCGUUUUGGUUCCAUUCAGUAGUGCUUGUGUUGAUUGGAUUGAAUCGGAGGACUCGAAGUGGUUUGUGCUGCUCGAAUCGUAAGUUUGUUGGGCUAAUCUCGAUGGAAUUUAUGUCAAUUCGUUGGUUUAGUGGUCCUUGGCAGUUCUCUCUGUGAUAGGCCCGUCCGAUCUGUAGAGAUGCGGUGGAAUCCUGGUUUACUCAAAACGGUUCUAGAUUCCUCUGUUCUUCCCUUAUUUUUUGUUUCGAUUACUUAGUUUGCACGUUAGGGGCCUAUGAAGUUUAUGUGCUCGGAUCCUUUAGUGAAACUGAUCUGUUUACUCAGAUGUGCUCGGAUCCUUCAGUGAAACUGAUCUGUUUACUCAGAUCUGCUGGUAGCUAACAGGUUCAGGGUAGUUAUGUUGAUGGUCUAGUUUUGGUAGUUUCAUUGUCGAUUUCUGUCCAUUUUUGUCAUGUUCUGUCCAUAAAAAUACUAUCUGUGCUUCUUCAUAUCUUGUAAUAUGAAUUCAUUUGACAAACUAUGCAUUUCUUUUAGAGUGUUUGUCUAAAUUAAUCUUCUGGUAUAUCCCUAUGCCAGUCUGUUAAUAUGUCUGUAUUAUAGUGUUUUGUUUGAGGUGGUAAUGUACAUGGUGCACCCUGCAGUUUUUCAUGUCUAAUAUUGAAUCUCCUUGUUUGCUGUAUGUAUUAAGGAUUAGUUUCACUUCAAAUAGCUUACUGCUGAUGCUUUCUUGUUUGUUUAAUAUGCUGUGUAAUCAUGUUGACCCUGAGGUUUGUAAGAAUUCCUCUUAUUUGAUUAUUGCAUGGAUUAGUGUCCUGAAGGAUAUGGCUCCUUUGUACAAUUAAGAUAAUUCACUUUUUUUUCUCAACUUUUAUAUGCUUACUAGCCCAUUAGGUUGUGUAAACAUUAGAGUGCUUUAGCCUGGUAAAGAUGAGUUAAGCAUUUUAAAUAAAUUUUUGGAUUUGGUUGAUAUCAUCCUUAACACCUGCAUUUAAACAAUUUGUCUCUUUUGAUCCUGACUAUUACAGUGGGUGUUACUUUCUUUAGUCAUUCUGUGGUAUCAAAGUUUCUGGUGUAGUUGUGUAAUUAUGGUUUUGGUUGGAUUCUUACUAGUAUUUUCUACCUUUAAACAGCAGGAAAUUAUAUACAUAUUUGUAGUGUGAUCUUCAUAAGAAGUCAAGAUGGUGAAGUUCACAGCGGAAGAGCUCCGUGCCAUCAUGGACAAAAAGAACAACAUUCGUAAUAUGUCCGUUAUUGCUCAUGUGGACCACGGUAUGUUAAGAACAGUGUUUAAUUAAAUGUUAUGCAUACCUGUUCCUCGACAUUUUUCAGGCUUUUCAAUUUUAGCAAUUGUUUUUUUUCAGUAUUAAAUCUCUGAAUUGUUCUUGCCAGUGAAUGCGAUUCAUGCUGCGUUAGCUAUCACAGACCUAUUUUACAUAUGUAGAAAUAUUCAUUUCAUGUUGGAAAUAGGCUUAUUGUUCUUUUGUAAUUAAUGUAUUGGUUUAUCUCUAGAUAUUGCAGUGUAUAGUAUCUGUUUACUAUGUGUUUUAUAUUGGGAUGUAUUGUUGUCUUUGUUAACUUGUGAGAGGUUGUCUAUCCCUAAUGUUGUACUAUUCUUGAUGCAUCUUCGGACUGACUUUUAAGUUCCACACUAUAGUCUUACAUCUCAUUAAUUCUUUGCAGGCAAGUCUACCCUUACAGAUUCCCUUGUGGCAGCUGCUGGGAUUAUUGCCCAGGAAGUUGCUGGUGAUGUCCGCAUGACUGAUACACGUGCAGAUGAAGCAGAGCGUGGUAUUACAAUCAAAUCCACCGGUAUUUCUCUGUACUAUGAGAUGACUGAUGAGUCACUGAAGAGUUACAAGGGUGAGAGAGAUGGUAACCAGUACUUGAUCAACCUUAUCGACUCACCUGGGCACGUUGAUUUUUCUUCGGAAGUCACAGCUGCCCUUCGUAUCACCGAUGGUGCUCUAGUGGUGGUUGACUGUAUUGAAGGUGUCUGUGUGCAAACUGAAACUGUGCUCCGCCAGGCUCUUGGUGAGAGGAUUAGGCCAGUGCUUACUGUGAACAAGAUGGACAGGUGUUUCCUUGAGCUUCAGGUUGAGGGUGAGGAAGCCUACCAGACUUUCUCCCGUGUCAUUGAGAAUGCCAAUGUCAUUAUGGCAACAUAUGAAGAUAAGCUCCUUGGUGAUGUCCAAGUCUACCCGGAGAAGGGAACUGUUGCUUUCUCUGCUGGUCUGCACGGCUGGGCCUUUACCCUCACCAACUUUGCCAAGAUGUAUGCUUCGAAGUUUGGAGUUGAUGAAACUAAGAUGAUGGAGAGGCUCUGGGGUGAGAACUUCUUUGACCCAGCCACAAAGAAGUGGACCACCAAGAACACAGGCUCUGCUACCUGCAAGAGAGGAUUUGUUCAGUUCUGCUAUGAGCCAAUCAAGCAAAUCAUCAACACCUGCAUGAAUGACCAGAAGGAUAAGUUGUGGCCCAUGCUUCAAAAGCUUAAUGUUACCAUGAAGUCUGAUGAGAAGGAAUUGGUUGGCAAGGCUUUGAUGAAGCGUGUUAUGCAAACUUGGCUUCCAGCUAGUACUGCACUGCUUGAGAUGAUGAUAUUCCACCUUCCUUCCCCAUCAAAGGCACAAAAGUAUCGUGUGGAGAACUUGUACGAGGGACCCCUUGAUGAUAUCUAUGCUACUGCUAUCAGGAACUGUGAUCCGGAGGGUCCUCUUAUGCUGUAUGUUUCUAAGAUGAUUCCAGCAUCUGACAAGGGCAGGUUCUUCGCCUUUGGUCGUGUCUUCUCUGGGAAGGUUGCUACUGGUAUGAAGGUUAGGAUCAUGGGUCCCAACUAUGUCCCUGGCCAGAAGAAGGAUCUGUACGUCAAGAGUGUCCAGCGUACUGUUAUCUGGAUGGGAAAGAAACAAGAGUCUGUUGAGGAUGUUCCUUGUGGUAACACUGUUGCUAUGGUUGGUCUGGAUCAGUUCAUCACGAAGAAUGCUACACUCACCAAUGAGAAGGAGGUUGAUGCAUGCCCAAUCAGAGCAAUGAAGUUCUCUGUCUCCCCUGUUGUGCGCGUUGCUGUUCAGUGCAAGGUUGCCUCUGACCUACCCAAGCUCGUUGAAGGUUUGAAGCGUCUGGCAAAGUCUGAUCCUAUGGUCCUCUGUACAAUUGAAGAAUCUGGUGAGCAUAUUAUUGCUGGAGCUGGUGAGCUUCACCUUGAGAUUUGCCUGAAGGAUCUGCAGGAAGACUUCAUGGGUGGUGCUGAAAUUAUUGUUUCUCCUCCUGUUGUCUCUUUCCGUGAAACUGUUCUUGAGAAAUCCUGCCGAACAGUCAUGAGCAAGUCCCCCAACAAGCACAACCGUCUUUACAUGGAAGCCCGUCCCUUGGAAGAGGGUCUCCCUGAGGCUAUUGAUGAGGGCCGCAUUGGUCCACGUGAUGAUCCCAAGGUUCGCUCCAAGAUCCUCUCUGAGGAGUUUGGUUGGGACAAGGAUCUUGCCAAGAAGAUUUGGUGCUUUGGACCUGAGACCACUGGCCCGAACAUGGUUGUUGAUAUGUGUAAGGGAGUGCAGUACCUCAAUGAAAUCAAGGAUUCUGUUGUGGCUGGCUUCCAGUGGGCCUCAAAGGAGGGUGCACUGGCUGAGGAGAACAUGCGUGGCAUCUGCUUUGAGGUCUGU
rnacentral:lncRNA from 1 species